rnacentral:lncRNA from 1 species
CACCACCACCACCUUCCCCACCUCCACCAUAUAUUUACAAAUCCCCACCACCUCCAUCACCUUCACCUCCUCCCCCUUACGUCUACAAGUCUCCACCUCCCCCAUCUCCACCUCCCCCUCCCCCAUACAUUUAUAAGUCUCCUCCUCCGCCAUCUCCUUCACCACCUCCACCUUAUGUCUACAAGUCCCCACCACCUCCAUCACCAUCUCCACCUCCACCUUAUGUUUACAAAUCUCCACCUCCACCUCCACCAUCACCCCCUCCCCCUUACAUUUAUAAGUCUCCUCCUCCACCAUCUCCAUCACCACCUCCACCAUAUGUCUACAAGUCCCCACCACCCCCAUCACCAUCUCCACCACCACCAUACAUCUAUAAGUCACCACCCCCACCAUCUCCUUCACCACCUCCACCUUAUAUGUACAAGUCCCCACCACCUCCAUCACCAUCUCCACCUCCACCUUAUGUUUACAAAUCUCCAGCUCCCCCAUCACCAUCACCCCCUCCCCCUUACAUUUAUAAGUCUCCUCCUCCACCAUCGCCUUCUCCCCCCCUCCCUAUGUCUAUAAGUCCCCACCACCACCAUCACCAUCUCCACCACCACCAUACAUCUAUAAGUCCCCACCUCCACCUCCACCUCCACCAUCACCAUCACCUUCACCUCCACCUCCACCACCAUACAUCUACAAGUCCCCGCCACCUCCAUCACCAUCACCUCCCCCACCAUACAUCUACAAGUCCCCGCCACCUCCAUCACCAUCACCUCCUCCCCCUUAUAUGUACAAGUCUCCACCUCCCCCAUCUACGUCUCCCCCUCCCCCAUACAUUUAUAAGUCUCCUCCUCCACCACCUCCAUCAUCACCACCUCCCUAUAUCUACAAGUCUCCACCACCCCCAUCACCAUCUCCACCUCCUCCAUAUGUCUAUAUGUCCCCACCACCCCCAUCACCAUCUCCACCACCACCAUACAUCUAUAAGUCACCACCUCCACCUCCACCUCCACCAUCACCUUCCCCACCCCCACCUUAUGUCUACAAGUCCCCACCACCUCCAUCACCAUCUCCACCCCCACCUUAUGUUUAUAAUUCUCCACCACCACCAUCUCCAUCGCCACCUCCUCCCUAUGUAUAUAACUCCCCACCACCACCACCAUCAUCACCUUCACCACCUCCUCCCUACAUCUAUAAAUCCCCACCACCGCCUUCUCCCUCACCACCCCCUCCUCCAUAUUACUAGACAAAUUAAAUUAUGUUUUUUAUAUUCAUGUAAGUUCCGUUUCGGACAUUAAUUUGUUAAUAAUUUUAUUUCUCUUCUUUUCUCUUGUUUCCAUCCUGUCGUGUCAUCUAAUUUUGAAGAUCUGUUUUGAAUUGCAGAUUAUGUAUUUAUGAAGACAAUAAUUGCUGCAAGAAGCACUGAAAUGAUUUCUUGGUGGCUCAUAUUCAUUCAUUCUGUCUCAAUGAAACACCCUUCUCAAGAGCUAGAACGAGCAACGUGAACUUGAUGCUUCGCAGUGUUUAUAGAAAGAGACUUUUUCUCUGUUCCAGUUUCAUUACUCCAUCGGUUCAUGUCUGUAAUGGAGUGAUUAUUUUUGUUGUAUGUUCGCUUCUUUUAUACUUAUUAUUAUUAUUAUACGCCCUUAAAUAUUUCCUCAAGCCCUUCAGCAAUUAAAUUUGAAUUGAAUAUGAUCUCUUCCCGCUUGAAUUUCUUAGUUACCGUUAAAUUAAUAUUCAAAAAGUAAAUUAUUUUUGAACUUAGGAUAGCGUUACUCUCACUCUAUAGUUUAUUAAUCACACUUCAUAAUAUACUUUAAUUAUUUGAAUAGGCUAAAAUAUCCGUAGUUAUAUUUGUCAUAAAUAGUGAUAGUUAAAAUUUUUAAAAAUAAUAAUAUCAAAUGCGAGCAUUACAUUUAUAUAUAGAAAUAUAACUGAUAGAAUAUUUAGAUUUUAUCUUUUUAAAUCAUUGUUUAUCAUUAAUUUUUUUUUUAAUUUGGUCGUACUAUAUUUCUUUUCUUGUUAAUAAUCUUCUUUUUUUGAGCUUUCAAAUAUUAUAUAUCAAUAAAAUAGUUAUUUCAAAAAAAUAUAAUAUAGUAAUUAAAAUCUGUAAGCUUCAAUUUAUAUACUUUUUUAUUUUUUAGUUGGACUAAUUUAAAAGUUUAAUAAUUAAAAUAUAAUAUCUUAAUAAACUUUAAUCAUGUCAAAAUAAGAUAUUUCAUAAUUAUAUGAAAAACAAAGAGGUAAUAUAGCCUAUUAAUGAAGUAAGAUUAAUAAUUCAUGAACUAUGAAUAACACUGGUACCAACCUUUGAAUGAAACUCUUGCCAGUUAAUUGCCAAACUCUAUAAUAUUAGAGCUAAUUGUAAGCUAGUACGUACCUUUAGUUUGUAAGAAAAAAUAAAUUAAUUAGUCUUAAUGAUCACUUUAGAAACGAUGCAUGUAUUUAAUUUCUACGUAAUUAAAUCAUCUUAGGGUGAUGAAACUCAUUAACUCAUUAACAUACUCUGAAAGUAACGAAGCAGAAAAAAGAACUAAGAAAUGCAAAAAUGAAAGUUAUCCCCAAAAGAUACUCUAGCUAGCUUGCCUGCAAGUGAAACCACCCCAACAUUAUUUUGCACUUCACUCUUCCCUAAUCGAAACCCAUAACCAUUUCGUUACCAAAGCUCUUGAUCACCUUUAGCGCCUCGAAACUUGGCCACCUGCUCCUCCUCAUCUGGUGGUGCUGCAGUUGCUGAAGGCAAUAUAACAGCCUCGCGCUGUGCCGUAACGAUCGACGCGCUUAACCCUUUCCUCGCUCACACAUGCAGCUGCGAGCUCAGGGAUUCUCAUGGUUUGAAGAAUUGAGCUUGCACCAAUCAAGAGCUGUGGCCUGUUCUGGCGAGCUGAAGUUGUGAAUCCGAAGAACUCGAGAGAACCUGACUUUGCUGCAAUUUGACAGAAGGGGAAGUAUCUUGGGACCCAGAAAGCAUCGCCUGCUUUUACUCUUGCAUUCAUCACUUGUGUUCCAUUUGGAAACACAAUCUGUAUUCUGCUGCUUCCACUCAAAACAAUUCCAUACUCUGUUGCUGAUGGGUUCAAAUGUACGUGGUGCCAUCAUUGAUCCCUAAGACAAAAAAUUGCCACAAAAAUAAGAACCAGGAGUUUAACUAAUUCAGUUACGAUUGAACAUGUGGAUGUUCGUCAACAAAUGUAUCACGCAGUUGAUGCAAUUUCUUAACAUAUUCGGUUAGUAGAUAAGUAGGACCCUUUGGAUGCCGUUAAAGAGGAUGAAACUCCAGUAUAUAGAGAGUAUGGAGAAAUCUUCAGUUGACAUUGCUUCUGUUGUGAAUAAAAAAUGCAUAGGAUAUCGUAAAACAUAGUGAACAAUGAGCAGAAACAAGAGACUGAACAAGAACAAUUACCGCGGUGAGGUUAACCAGACAGACACCAAUACCAGAGUGUCGAAGAGGCUGGUAACCAGACUCAUCAAUUGCAGUGAUCCAUCCAUAGUUGUUUCUGAAGUUAGGCCGUCUAUCAUAGAUAUUGAAUGAAUCAGGGGAUUUGCCAUUUUCACAUUUUUUCUUAUUUUCCUGUCCAAAUAUUGAAUUCAAGAGAUUCCUCCAUGACCAUGUCAUUUGCUCCUCUUCUUGAUUAGGUGGUUGUUGGAAUUUCACCAUUCUCUUUAGGUGCUGUAGUCUAUCUUGCUCCUUCAGUUGAAGGAAUUUUCUCCACGGGCUUGGCCUUGGUGCCCUAGAAUCACCUAGGAAAACUAUCGGACUCUCUUGUUGCCUGGUCAUCAUUUCCCUAACUUCAUCUGUUGUUACCUGCAAUGCACAAUUUCAGACUAUAGAAACAAAGAAAUCACUCAAAGAGCAGGAGGCUAGUAGUGGAUGUUUGAUAGGCAACUUUGAUCUGUUUGCUUAUAUUGAAGGCAGUUGAAAUUAAGGGUUUCUAGUUCAAACCAGCAAGAAUGGAUUUUGGUUAGGUUCCCCCACCAAUGAAGAAGGACUGCACACAUAGAAAUCGAGCAGAUGAAAUUCAAUACACAACCUAAAAAAAAUAAGAAACAAGCAGUACAGCGACUUCUCCAAUCAUAUUUUAGCCACAAAUAAUCUUUAGAACUUCCAUGUUGGACUCGCAGCCUCCACGAACAAAACUGUGCUGCCAAAAAGCCUCGAGAUGCAGUGAGAAAAUAUUCCUCUAGUCUUUUUAGAGAUGAUGUACCUGGAAAACACCCAAUCCCAAACUGAUGUGGACCGGGUAGCAAGACAACAAAAGGGCUGCCUAUUGUUGCACAAUCAAGCACGUUUUAUUUUCUUACGUAACAGUUGGAGUUUCCUCUCAUUUCAUUAUUUAGCUUUUACUCUCCCAAUUAAUUCGGGACGUUUCUUUCUGUUUUUUUUAGCUUUUAUUUCCUCAUUAAUUCUGGACUGUUUCCCAAUUUAAUGAAGCUGUUUUAGGACUCUAAGAAUUUUGUUUUCUCUAUUUAUUGGGUUGUAAGCACUUUGUGAGAGAUAGACAGAAUAAAAAAAAACCAAAACUCUUUUGAGUAGUUAACUCAAAUAUCUUUCUUUCUUUGUUUUUCUGCGGAAUUACAGAUUGAAAAACCCUUGUGUGUUAGAACGCGUGUGAGUUCCGUUUGGUCUGCAUCAGGUUGGUAUCAGAGCUCGAUUAGUUAUCGUCGUUAUGGCACCAAAAAGACGCGCGAACCUACCGAACCUUCGUGAACAACCAUUGGAUGAAGUCUACGAACGCGAUGAGAUUGCACGACUACAACAACAAGUCGAGACGUUAACGCAGCAGUUAGCAGCGUCAAUGGCUCAACAUCAGGAUCCAAAUCCACAAGACGUGGAAGAGGAGUCUGAAGGUGAUGAAAAUCCAUUCGCCCAUCAACUAGUGCAGAGGAGACCAGCGCAUGAUGAGUCAAGGCGCUGGGAGACAGGCCUCAAGGUUGACAUACCAGAGUUCCAUGGUGGUUUGCAAGCGGAUGAGUACCUCGACUGGAUCAAUACAGUAGAUGAAGUUUUAGAGUUUAAACAAGUUCCAGAAGAUAGACGAGUAGCACUGGUUGCAACAAAGCUUAGAGGUCGGGUUGGGGCUUGGUGGCAACAGGUGAAGAAGACAAGGACUCUACAAGGAAAAGGAAAGAUCACGUGCUGGGACAAGAUGAAAAAAAAUAUGCGUUCUGCGUUUCUACCAUACAACUAUACACAGACGCUCUACCAACGGUUACAAAAUCUAAAACAGGGAAACCGUUCAGUUGAUGACUACACUACGGAGUUUUAUCAGUUAGUAUCGCGAGAUGCGAUUGCAGAGGAUGAAGAGUCACUGGUUGCGCGAUAUAUUGGCGGACUGCAGAUUCAAUUCCAAGAUGUCCUGAAUAUCUUUGAUGUAUUGAGCGUGUCGGACGCCCACCAGAGAGCAGUGCAGUUAGAGAAACAACUAGUGCGCAGAAAUACAGGGGGUCUGAACUUUGGAGGUUCUGGUGCAAAUACAAGCAAUAACAGCGGACGAACAGGGAGUAUGAAUUUCGGGGGGACCGGUGCAGGCAGUGCAAGUAGCAGUAGCACACGAAUAGCCAUUCCACCAUCUCCUAUUACCAAGCCUAUUAUGCCUACACACGUAACGACGCCUAACACAGGUUUUCGUUGUUUUAAUUGCGGGGAACUAGGACAUAGGUUCACAGAGUGUAAGAAAGGACAGCGGAGAGGUUGUUUUCAGACGUUGAGGAAAUUAACAGGGAACAGGAAGGCGAUGUUGAGGCAGAACCAGUUUAUGAUGAGGAAGAACGUUUAGAGGGGGAUGCUGGACCAAUGUUAAUGAUCCGGCGCAGCUGUUUAGCACCACGCGUGGUAGAGGAUGAUUGGUUGCGCACUAAUGUAUUCCAGUCCACUUGCACAAUUAGUGGAAAAAUCUGUCGGUUCAUUGUUGAUUCAGGUAGCUGUGAAAAUAUAGUGUCCGAGGAGGUGGUCCGUAAACUACACAUGGCAACAGAAUCACAUCCUCGACCGUAUAAAUUAACAUGGCUAGAUAAGAAGAAUGAUGUUACGGUAUCAAGACGCAGCUUGGUGUCUUUUUCAAUCGGCACAACAUACAAAGAUCAGAUUUGGUGUGAUGUGGUCUCCAUGGACGCCUGUCAUUUAUUAUUGGGCAGACCGUGGUUAUAUGAUCGACAUGUGAUGUAUGAUGGGUUCUUGAAUACAUGCACUUUCAUAUUCAAUUCAAUCAAGGUUGUGUUGUUACCAAAAAAAGAAGUUACAGGCGGCACUCUAACAGGAGAAAACAACAAUUUAUUGACAAUGGCUAAGUUUGAAGCAGAAGUCAAAGAAUCUGGAGUUGUCUACGUGCUGAUUGGAAAAAUGGAGGCUGAGAAUGGCAUUAUUCCAAGUAGCGUGGAGCCAUUAUUACAGGAGUUUGGAGAUAUAUUUCCAGCUGAGCUUCCUGAAANNNNNNNNNNNNNNNNNNNNNNNNNNNNNNNNNNNNNNNNNNNNNNNNNNNNNNNNNNNNNNNNNNNNNNNNNNNNNNNNNNNNNNNNNNNNNNNNNNNNAUCAAAUUAAUCUGGUCCCUGGUGCCAACUUGCCCAACAGGCCACAUUAUCGGAUGAGUCCUAAGGAGCAUGAAGAGUUACGGCGCCAAGUAGAGGAAUUGCUAACAAAGGGGCAUAUUCGAGAGAGUCUUAGCCCAUGUGCGGUGCCUGCCCUUCUAACCCCAAAAAAAGAUGGAACGUGGAGAAUGUGUGUCGAUAGCAGGGCCAUUAAUAAAAUUACAGUUCGUUACAGGUUUCCAAUCCCGCGGUUAGAUGACUUGCUGGAUCAGUUGAGUGGAGCCACAAUAUUCACGAAGCUGGACUUGAAGAGCGGAUAUCACCAGAUUCGUAUCCGGCCGGGAGAUGAGUGGAAAACGGCCUUCAAAACUCGGGAAGGACUCUUUGAGUGGUUGGUCAUGCCUUUCGGACUGUCUAAUGCCCCAAGCAUAUUCAUGCGAGUGAUGAAUCAAGCCUUGCGGCCUUACAUUGGUAAGAGCGUGGUGGUUUAUUUUGAUGACAUUUUAAUUUAUAGUGUUGAUCCUAGAAUGCACCUACAACAUCUCCGGGAAGUUUUGACCGUGUUACGUAAAGAACAAUUCUUCGCAGCAAAAGGAAAGUGUGUGUUCUUAAGUGACCAGGUCUUGUUUUUGGGAUACAUUGUGUCUUCUAAGGGGCUUUCAGUAGACGAGACAAAAAUUGAAGCAAUCAAACAGUGGCCACAGCCGCAAACCAUGACUGACGUUCGAAGCUUCCACGGGUUGGCAUCAUUCUACCGCCGCUUCAUUCCCCACUUCAGUGGCAUAAUGGCCCCAGUGACUGAUUGUAUGAGGAACAAUAGCAAGUUUGUGGGACAAUUGAGGUCGAGACAGCCUUCCAAGAAAUCAAAAGGAGAUUGACCACCGCCCCAGUACUUGUCCUACCAGACUUUUCAAACCCAUUUGAGCUACACUGUGACGCCUCAAAGCUAGGAAUCGGGGCAGUUCUGAGUCAAAAUGGCAGGCCUGUAGCCUUUUUCAGUGAGAAGCUUUCAGGGGCAAAAUUACGGUAUAACACCUAUGAUGUUGAAUUUUAUGCAGUGGUUCAAGCAGUGAGGCAUUGGCGACAUUAUCUGUUUCUUCAGGAGUUCGUCCUAUUUACUGACCAUGAUGCCCUCAAACAUAUGGGGAGUCAAGAUAAGAUUUCAUCUCGUCAUGCAUCUUGGGCUGCGUACUUACAACAAUUCACAUUUGUCAUCAAACACAAGGCUGGUACACUGAACCGGGUGGCUGAUGCCCUCAGUCGUCGAAAAAAUAUGCUGGUUGACAUGCGAGUCAAAGUAAUGGGUUUCGACUCUUUUCAAAAUUUGUAUGCAUCUGACCCUUUUUUGCUGCUGUAAUAGAGAACAUUCAGAAUCACCAACAGAGUAACUUUGUCCUCCAUGAUGGAUUCAUCUUCAAAGGCACCCAACUAUGUAUACCUGAGUGUAGUCUCCGAACCAAAAUCAUACAAGAACUGCACAGAGAAGGACAUCUGGGAAGAGACCGAACUUACUUACUGGUGGCUGCGUCCUAUUUCUGGCCAUCCAUGUGGAAGGAGAUUGGUUGUUUUGUUGAACGUUGUAGGGUCUGUCACGUGGCCAAGGGAGGAGCCACCAAUGCCGGUUUAUACAUGCCACUUUCUGUUCCAGUACGACCAUGGACCGACAUCAGCAUGUAUUUUGUUCUAGGCCUCCCGCGUACACAACGGGGAUUCGACUCCAUUUUCGUAGUAGUAGACAGGUUUUCAAAAAUGGUUCACUUUAUACCAUGCAAGAAAACAACAAAUGCUGUUAAUGUGGCUGAAUUAUUCUUUCGAGAAGUGUAUCGGUUGCAUGGGCUGUUAGAGUCAAUUGUGUCAGAUAGGGAACACUCGUUUCCUGAGCCAUUUCUGGCGGAGUCUUUGGAAGAUGGUUAAUACUCACCUAAACUUCAACAGUGCUUAUCAUCCUCAGUCCGAUGGACAAACUGAGGUGGUGAACCGGUCGUUGGGUAAUCUCCUUCGUAGUUUGGUGGGUGAUCAAUUAAAAUCUUGGGACAAGAAACUUGGCCAAGCAGAGUUUGCUCAUAACCAUGCAGUCAAUCGUAGCACCAAGCUCAGCCCCUUCGAAAUCGUGUACGGGUUUCUCCCACGAUGUCCACUUGACUUGGCUAAUCUCCCGAACAACACUAAAGUUAAUCACAAGGCAGAGGAUUUUGUCACCCAGCUGCAGGACAUUCACAAAACGAGAGAUGGAAUGCGCCUUGGUAAAGAAAUCUGCAAUCUGCAAGGAAGAAGGAACAAAAGGCAAAGCAAUGGUGCCAUGUUUGAGAUGAUGACGAGUAAGAUGACAAUCGAUCUCAAUGUGCUUAGUGCGCUCAUGAAAAACCGAGUUAUGAGCAAUCUGAAUAGAACUCUGGUUGUCACAAUACAUAGGAGUAGGAUGAGAAAAGGAAAUUCCCAUAUCAGAAAGUAACCAACGUAACCAAACAAUCUCUUUGGUAGUAGAUGCCAUGGCACGAUAUUCUGCUUCGGUGGAUGAUUGAGAAACAAUAGAUUGUUUCUUGCUCUUCCAAGAAAUAAGAGAAUCACCUAAAAAGAUACAGAACCCGGUAACAGACUUGCGAUCUGUGGGAUCACUACCAUGAUCAGCAUCAGAGUAUGCACGCAACUCCAAGGAAGAGGUGGAUGAAAGUAACAGACUCUGAAAAACUGUACCCCGAAGAUAUCGCAAAAUACGAAGAACAGCUGCCCAGUGAACAGUAGUAGGAGAAGCAACAAACUGACUAACAACAUGAACAGCAUAUGCAAUAUCUGGACGAGUAAUGGUGAGAUAUACCAAACUCCCAACAAUAAUGCGGUAUAAAGUAGGAUCUAUCAAAGGUAAACCAUCAGAAGAAGAGUACCUCGCGUUGACCUCAAUAGGAGUAUCUACAGUCUUGUUAUCAGUAAGUCUAACCCGCUCAAGAAUAUCUGCAACAUAUUUCGACUGAGAAAGAAGGUAACCUCUAGGUGAGUAUGCUACCUCAAUACCCAGGAAAUAUCGAAGAUAACCCAAAUCCUUCAUUUCAAAUCGUCUAGCCAACUCUGUCUUUAAAACUAAAAUACCAUCAAUAUCAUCACCAGUAAUAAUCAUGUCAUCAACAUAUAAAGACAGAAUGAUACGACCUGCAUCAGUGCACUUAAUAAAAAGAGCAGAAUCAUGACUGCUAGAAACAAAGCCAAGAGACGAGAUCACAAUAGAGAAUUUCUCAAACCAAGCACGAGGUGCUUGUUUGAGACCAUAUAAUGCUUUCUUAAGCUUACAAACAUAUCCAGAGUCAUGUGAAAUACCAGGAAGGGGUGCCAUAUAAACUUCUUCUUGAAGAUCUCCAUUCAAGAAUGCAUUUUUAACAUCAAGCUGAGAAAUAUGCCACUGACGAAUCGAAGCUACGACAAUAAGAGUACGAAUAGUAGUCAUUUUUGCAACCGGGGCAAAUGUCUCCUCAUAGUCCAUACCAUACUGUUGAGAGUAUCCUUUUGCAACCAGCCUAGCUUUGUAUCGCUCAAUAGACCCAUCAGAAUUAGUCUUGAUCUUAUACACCCAACGACAACCAACAACACUCUUACCAGGAGGUAGAGGAACCAAAUCCCAAGUAUCUGUUUUAUGCAAAGCAAAAAGUUCCUCAUUCAUAGCUUGCUGCCAAAGCGGAUCAAGAAUUUCCUCUUUAUAGGAAGAGGGCUCAAAGAGACAAUGAAUAGAAGCUAAAAAGGAAGUAAAUGAUGAAGAAUAACAAGAAUAAGCAAAAUCUGGUAGUUUUGUGGACUUACGAAUGCGGAUGGACUGACGUGGAGGAGGAUCCACAAUCUCAGAUGAAGCUUGAGGGGCUGUAGAUGAGAAUGGAGCUUCAGGUGUGUUAGAGAGUAAAGUACCAGUACCUGCAGAGUUAUGAGUACAAAUUGAUCGAACAUAGGGAGAGGUAUCAUUACCAGAAUCCUCAUAAAAAGGAUCUAUAUGAAUAAGAUCAGAUUUUGUCAGGCUAUGAGUAGUGGAUGGAAUAGAAAAGAAAGGUAUAUGCUCAAGGAAGACAACAUGACGAGACACAUAAAGUUUCUGAGUUAUUGGAUCAAAACAACGAUACCCCUUUUUACCUUCACCAUAACCCAGAAAGACAUAAAUAGCGGAUCGAGGGGAUAGCUUACUGCGUUCUACAUGAGGACGAAGAACGAAACAAGUACAACUAAAGACUCUAAAUGAGGAAUAAUCAGGGACAUACCCAUAUAACUUUUCAAAAGGAGAUAGACCCGAACUAUGAGAAGAUGGAAUUGUAUUAAUCAAACUUACAGCAGUAAGAACAGCUUCUCCCCAAAACUCACUAGGAACAAAAGCAGACAACAAGAGAGAACGAGCAGUUUCGACAAUGUGCCUAUGUUUUCUUUCAGCUACACCAUUUUGUUCAGGAGUAUCUGUACAUGAAGUUUGGUGGAUGGUUCCAUCUAAGGCAAGCAUUUGACAAAAUUUAUUAGAGGUGUAUUCCCCACCCAAAUCACACCUAAAGCAUUUGAUCACAGCAGAAUGUUGAGUUUUGAUAAGAGCUCGAAAAGCUGCAUAUAUCUCAAAGAAUUCAGAACGAUGUUUCAUUAAAUAAACCCAACAAUAACGAGUAUGAUCAUCAAUAAAAGAGACAUAAUAUCGAGACCCUCCUUUUGUGGAAACAGGAGAAGGUCCCCAUACAUCAGAAUGAAUCAAAUCAAAUGGUGAAUAUGACACAGAAAUACUUCGAUUAAAAGGUAAAGCAGAAAAUUUUGCCAGUUUACAUCCACUACAAUCAGAAAUGUCACAAGUUUUCAAAUUUUCUAAAGCUCCUGUGGAUGCCAAAAAUCUCAAAUGAGAAGACGAAACAUGACCUAGACGGGAAUGCCAUAAAUAAAAACUAGAAGAUGAAAGACUCAAACGAAAGGAAGACAAAUCAGCAGUAGUAGCAGCAGCGGCAACAUCGGCAACUGGCACUUUUAACUCAUCCAAAAUAUAUAGCCCAUUCUCCCUACGGCCUGUCCCAAUCAGCUUCUGAGACUGCAGAUCCUGUACACAACAAAAAGAACCAGAAAACAUGACUAAAUAAUCACCAGAAUCACAUAUUUGACCAACAGACGCAAGAUUCAAUUUGAGUUUUGGAAUAAGAUAAACAUUAGGGAGAGACAAGUGAGGUGUGACAACAGAACCAACACCUGCUAAGGGCAUAAGAGUGCCAUCAGCAGUCAUAACAGGAAUGGAGGACAAAGGGGACACUGAGGUAAAAGAUGAGGAAUCUGGAGACAUAUGAUGGGAAGCACCAGAAUCCAAGACCCAUUCAGAGUGUGACAUACCUGAGGAACUAUGAGGCAACUGACCUAUGGAAGAAGCGGACAUUGCUUGUGGCUGCAAGGAGAGAAACUUCUGAAAUUGCUCAGCUAAAGUAUUAGGAUCGGUAAUAGAGCCUGGGGAAGCUACUGCUGCAGUAUUGUGGUGUGGUGGUUUAUACCCUUGAGGUGAUCGAUGAGCAUUAGAUUGUGACUGACUGCCAGACUUCCAAGCUUGAUUCUACUGUCUUAACUUAGGACACUGAGCCUUCCAAUGACCUUUCUGCUUACAGAAACUGCACUCAUCGAAGCCAACCCUUGUGUAAGGCUUGUUCUGAUGAUUAGAGAAUGACUUAGAAGGUACUGCUAGUACAGAAGGAUUCGAAGCAGAAAGAAUUCCCUUUUCAGAAUAAGACUGAAGACGUAUUUCUUCAGCCAAUAACUCACUGACAACAGAGUCAACAGAAGACAGUGGAGAACGAUGCAGAAUUGAACCUCUAAGUCCUUCGAAAUCACUGCGAAGUGCUGUUAAAAAUUGUACCAAUCGUUGCUGCUCUCUACGUUCAAUAUAAGCACCACAUGCUUUUAAUUCUGCCGAUUUUGUAAGAGCCAAUUGAUCCCAAAGAUCUGUCAUUGCAGAAUAGAACUCCUGAAUACUCAUAUUCUUCUGGUGAAGAGCUCGUAUGUCAUUCUCUAACUGAUAUUGUUUUGCAAAAUUUGAUUGCGUGAAUAACCGUUGCAGAUGAUCCCAAACCUCCUUUGCUGUCUCAUACUUUGCCAACUGUGUACCUAUAGAAUGCUCAACAGAAUUGUUGAUCCAAGUAAUGAUCUUUGCAUUGUUUGCUUCCCAUGUAUCUAUCGAAACAGUAUCUCCUUCUUCAGUAUUCUUAGGUACCACAUAAGUUCCACUAACAUAUCCCCACAUCUUCUUACCCUUAAGAAAAUUUUUCAUUACAUAGCUCCAAUACGAAUAGUUCUUCCCAUCCAACCUCACACUCACAGACUGAAGCGAAUCAUCUCUUUCAGUAGCCAUAAUCAACAAUCACAGAGAACCAGAAUGCAAAAGCAGCGGAAAACAAAAUACCAAAUUGCAGAAACUGAACAGAGAUUGCAGAAACUAAACAAAUAUCUUCUCAAACUUAUACGAUUACUCCAAAACACAAAACAAAUUUGCAGAAACUGAACGGAAAUACCAAAUUGCAAAAGCUGAAGGGAAGACGAAAUACCAAAAUAAUUGCAGAAACUGACGAAAUACCAAAUUUUGCAGAAGCGGAAGACAAAAUCUCACUCCAAACCCCCAGCCAACUCACCGCAGAGUUGGAUCCGCGAAGUUGUGUUCAGGAUUAAGCCUCGUUUCAUAAAACCAGCUCUGAUACCAUGUUAAAAUAAUUGAGAUCAAAUACAAAAAGGAGGCUACAAUUCUGAAUAAUUUAUUUAUUAUGAAUGCAUAGUCUUAACCUAAAUACAAAUAAAGUAUAUAUAGGUCAAACUGAAAGUACUAUUCUACCCUUAAUAAAUAAGACUACAUAAAUAUUAUUUAACAGCAUAUACAUCGCAUUUUUUUCAGAAUUAUAUGAAUGCAGCAAAAUCGAGAGAUUAUACAGAAGAGUAGAUACUUGUGCGAAUGAAGAGGAUCAAGCUGGAGUGGAUAUACUGAGGAAUAAAAACUGCUCUAGGCUCCAUAGUAAUGAACCCAAUAUGCAUAGCCCUAUCUACAAUCCUUCCACCAUAAUUCCUGAGCACCGUCAUAACCCCAGCAUCAGUUUUAAUCACACGCUUUGAAUCCUGCAACAAGAACCAGUCUUCUUCCUUAUCUCUCUCCGUUUCUUCCCUCUCUCCUCUCCAGUUUUCCUUUUCUUCUCUAUAAAACCCUACUGCCACAGUGACCUCAUAACAGAGCACAAGAAGCAACAGCAGAAGGAUAUCUCUAUUUCCCAUUGUGUUAGUUUUCUCAAUGAGCUAGCUAGCUAGCUUUUCUUGUGUAUUGUAUUGCAGGUGAAAUUUACAUUUGCUUGGUGCGUCAGCAUGAGUAGAAAGGUGGGGUUUAUGAAGGGGCUGAAGGAGAGAUUAGAGGAAAACAAGUGUCAGUCAUGCAGAGUUGUAGAUUUGGUAGCUCAUGUUUGGUUAGACCCAGUUGAGUUCUCGCGAGAAAUAUCAGAUCAAGGUGAGAGGAUCAAAAUAGUUUGUGAUUCGGCUUUAUAUUUAUGUAUUUAUCUACAUGUUUUACCAAAAACAAAAUCCACGUUUUUUACUUGGAUAUUUAGUCACUCAGUCAACCCUAUGAUUUAAGUUAAGGACUCUACCAAGUUAAAUUAUUUUUUUAUUUUAUUAUAUUAUAAAAAAUGCCAAAAUUAAACUAUAAUCAAUCUAAUACUGGACAAUAAAAUUCAAUAAAAAAAAAACCCAUCAUUUUUCUCACAAACAGUCUAUGCACACAAUUAAUAACAUAUUGAAAUUAUUAUAAUUGAGCUUUUCACGUGGGGAAAGUCUUCAAUGUAUAUAGGUAAACAUUGUCCUGAUAUCUAAAUUCUCUUUUACUAUUUUUCUUGAAAAUCAUAAAUUCAUAUAACAAGUUUGUUUGAGAAAAAAAAUAAUAAAACAAGUAAACAUCUAAAUAAAAUAUAUAUACUAUAAAAAUAUGCAAUAAAAAAAUUAACAUUUUAAAAUUUUGUUUAAAUUAAAAAAAAAAGUAUAUUUGCUUACUUAAGAUGGAAAAUUCGCAAUAAAAUUUCAAUCAGAACAUGGAUACCAUCAAACAGAGUAUUGUUGUGACUGGAAAAGUUGUGAAAAGAUGAGUUAUGUUGAGAUGGGGGGAGGUUUGUUUUGUUGCAUAAUGUUUUAAGGAAGAAGUAGAAAUAGAGGGGGGGGGGGAGUCAAGCGCCAAGUCAUAUAUUAAAUAUUAUCAAUGGAUUUACAUAUGAAAUUAUUCCGACGAUGACUCCGUUGACUCCGUUGACAAUUCUAUUGAUAUAAGUGACACGUCACUGUACGGUUUGCUUAUUUAAAUCCCACUGUAAUUUCAUCGGUAACGUCGUGUGUAAAAACUUAAACAUCAUCGAACUAUUUGAUUUUUUUUAUUCUUUCUAUUCCGACUGGGAUUCCCUUAGUAUAUACCGAUGACAUAUUUCUGUCGGUAUUUUCUAAUGAAGUUAGCUAUAGAAACAAUUUGGUAGGUAAAAAUCACCGCAAAAUACUGACAAAAAAAAUCCGUCACUGUUUCUGUUUGUAUUCGUUGAUUUUCUGAUAGUUUACUUACUAAUUUUUUUAUUCAUUUAUAUUUUUCAAAUAUACAAUGGAAUUGUAGUCUUUUUUUUUUUUAUUACAUAAACAAAUUAACUCUAGUAAUUAGGACUUCAACUUUGUUUUCUAAAAUAAGUUAUCGAAUACAUAAUCGCUAUCUAAUUUUAAUUAAUCACAUCUAACUCCUUUUGGUUAGCAAAUCAUUGUUUAUCCAAUUAUAUUAGGAUUCAUUAUUUUGAUUCCUUUUGCUUUAGGAAUUGCUUGCCUGGACAUGAUUGGGGUUGCUAACCUUAUGUUGUAAUUUUCUACUUUUGGUUUUAUUUAUAUAGCUAUCAAAAUGGUUAAGGAAUUGAUUCGAGUAAUUUCACAUGUUUCAGUUAAAACUAUUUAAUUCAAUCAAAACCUUAUUAAUUAUAACUUUCUACUUAUGGUUCUAUUUAAAUAGCUAUCAAAUCCUAUAUAAAUUCAAUAUAUUGAUUUGAAAAUUUAGUGAUUCAUAUAAUUUUAACUCUGAUAUUAAAAUAAUUAAAGAGUUGGCUUGAUUAGAUUCGAGCACCUCAAUUAAAACUUGUUUGAUCUAAUCUGGUGAUGUCCCAAAAUCCAGAAUAUUCAAGCAAUAAGUUAUUUAGUGUUUGGAUAGUGGUUGAUCAAGGUGUUUAAGAAUAUAAUUAUCUUCUCCUUAGCUAAAAAAGUACCAAACUAAUGGUAAAAGCCUAAGUACCUAUAAAAACAAAGUCAAUAAUUUUAUGGAAAAAACAAUAAAUAAUUCAAAAGAGCCUUAAGUUCCAAGAACAAAAGUGUUUGUUCUUGUAUUUUAGAAUGAUUAAUGCUCCGAAGUAUAUGCAAGCUAUUUAGAGUUGAAAAAGUUCUGAACCUCUUACCUGGAUGGUUCAAGAGGUAUUUAUAAACCUUAAACCUUGUUGUCUUCAGAGAAGAGAAAGACUAAAAAGUUAUUUGCUUUCUGUAGCAUUAAUGAGAGACAAAUAUCCCUUAUACACCAUUAAUGAGAAACAAAUAUCUCUUACACAUUAUUAAUGAGAUGGUAUGUGUGGUGGACUCCCUAAGUGACUUUUUAUACAUCUAUAAAUAUAGAGAGAUCAUUACAUUUGAUAUGAAUAAAUCAUAUAACCAUUCUAAAAGUAGGACUCCUUAGCCCUAUACACUUAAGACCUGAGAUGUAGCCCAACUUCGAUAAAAAAUAAAAAAGGUGUGACGGUUUAUCUAAUCUGUAGCACCUCUUGUUUAAUUGAGCAUCUGGAUCUGACAUACUACUAUACUCAAGUUACCUUGCGUUUGACUAAUAACUAAACCCAAGCGUAUUGGGUCUGGUAUUUUGUCAGGUCUAUGUUACCUUGGGUUUAGCUGAUUGUUGAACCUAAGUGUGUUGAGUCUUGCAAACUGUCAGACCCAUGUUAUCUUGAAUUUAGCUAAUUGCUGAAUCCAAGUGUCUUGAGUUUGGCAUUUCGCCAAGCUUAUGUUGCCUUAGGUUCUUCAGCUGAUUGUUAAACCCAAGUUUCUUGGGUUUCACAUUUCACCAGGCUCAUGUUGCCUUGGACUCAACUAAUUAUUGAAUCUAAGAGUCUUGAGUUUGGCAUUUCAUCAGGUCCAUAUUGUUGCCUUGAGUGCAGCUGAUUCGUGAAUCUAAAUGUGUUGGGUCUGGCAUAUUGCCAGGCCCACAUUACUUUGGGUUCAGCUAAUUGCCAAACCCAAGUGUAUUGGGUCUUGCAUGUUGCUAGAGCUAUGUCGUCUUGGGUUUUUUCAAGCAAUAAAAAUAUAAACAAAAAAAUAUUGACUUAUCACAAUCAAAGCUUUUCUUCUCGUUGUUUCUUCUUCUUGUUGUGAUGCUUUUAUUCAUGUACAAUUUGUUUGAACAAUUUCUUUUCUUACAAUAAGCGAUAUUAUAAGAACUUCAUGAAUUUUUUUUUUGAAAGAAUUGUAUUAAAAAGAGAAUUCAACUCUCUUGCAUUAUAAUUCAAUAUCAAUUCAAAGUUAGUAACCUAAAAUGUGUCUCAUUAAUCCUCUUUUUAGAUAAUUUAAUUAGUUCUAACUAGUUUAACCUGCUUGCAUUUUUGCUAUGGGUUUAAACAUAAAAAGACACAUUUAGAUCGUUAAAAACUUUACAACAUUGUUAUUAAACUCGGUAUAAUAAUUUAAACUUGAAAAAUCCCUACCUAACUUUUUAAUUGAUAUUUAGUCAGUCUAUCAACCCUAUGAUUCAGGUUAAGGACUCCACCGGGUCAAAUUAUUUUUUUAUUUUAUUAUAUCAUAGAAAAUACCAAAAUUAAUUAUCAUCAAUCAACCCAAUACUGAAUGAUAAAAUUAAAAAAAAACCCUCGUUCUUCUCACAAAUAGUCUAUGCCCAUAGUUAAAAAUAUAUUAAAAUUAUUAUAAUCAAGGGACCAUAUGUUAAACACACCGUUAAUUAUAUAUCAAAAUAAUUAUAAUCAAGUUUGUAGACCUGGAAGUCUAAAUAAUCGAGCUUUUCACGUGGGGAAAGUCUUCAAUGUAUAUAAGUAAACAUUGUCCUGAUAUCUAAAUUAUCUUUUACUGUUUUUCUCCAAAGAAAUUAGACGAGUAAAAAGUUUAAGAUAAGAAUUGUAAAAAAGAAGUAAUUAUCGUAAUAAAAGACAUUCAUUUAGUAUUAUCCAUAUAUUAUUACAAUAACUAAUGUUGUAUGAUAUUAUUUUGGCAUGAUUGAUACAGUCCACUUUCCUUCAAUUGAUUACAUUUUCAAUACAUGCAUUAUCUAAUAUAUAGUCUCUUCGAAGAAACCCACUGCCAUCAUUAACCAUAUAUAAUCUGAAAAAAAAAAAACAAUUAGAGAUUAAUAUUGGUAACGAAAUAAAACUAAAAAAAGAACCAUGUUAUCGAAAUAAACAAUCUAUUAAAAAGAAAGUUAAAAGAACUGACCAAUUUUGUAAGAUAUUUUUGAACGAGGUGGAGGUUAAUUAUUGGAUGAAGCAGGUGAUGGAGAUAGAGGAGGUGGGGAUUUAAAGAAAAAGGGAGGCAAAAAGAACCAUGGAGGAGGUGGAGAUUUAAGGAUAUGUGGAGGGGGUGAAGGAGAUGGAGGUGGCGGGGAUUUAAAGGGGAAGAAGGUAGGAAAUGUAAACCUCAGAGUAGGUGGAGAUUUGAGGAUAGGUGGAGGGGGAGAAGGAGAUGGAGGUGGCAGGGAUUUAAAGGGAAAGAAGGGAGGAAGUGUAAACCUCGGAGGAGGUGGAGAUUUGAGGAUAGGUGGAGGGGGAGAAGGAGAUGGAGGUGGCGGAUUUAUAAUGAAAGAAGGGAGGAAGUGUAAACCUCAGAGGAGGUGGCGGAUUUAUAAUGAAAGAAGGGAGGAAGUGUAAACCUCAGAGGAGGUGGAGAAUUGAGGAUAUUUGGAGGGGGAGAAGGAGAUGGAGGUGGCGGGGAUUUAAAGGAAAAGAAGGGAGGAAGUGUAAACCUCGGAGGAGGUGGAGAUUUGAGGAUAGCUGAAGGGGGAGAAGGAGAUGGAGGUGGUGGGGAUUUAAAGGGGAAGAAGAGAGGAAGUGUAAACCUCGGAGGAGGUGGAGAAUUGAGGUUAUGUGGAGGGGGAGAAGGAGAUGGAGGUGGCAGGGAUUUGAAGGGAAAGAAGGCAGGAAGUGUAAACCUCGAAGGAGGUGGAGAUUUGAGGAUAGGUGGAGGGGGAGAAGGAUAUAGAGGUGGCGGGGAUUUAAAGGGAAAGAAGGGAGGAAGAGUAAACCACGGAGGAGGUGGAGAUUUGAGGAUAGGUGGCGGGGGUGGAGGAGAAGUAUAACGAGGUGAUGGAAAUGGUGAAAUUUUUGGAGGGUAUGUCGGAGGAGUAUAAGGAUGUGAUGGAGAUAAAUUAGGAGUUGGGGAUGGGGAUAGUAAUGGAAAUGGUGAAACUUUUGGACAGGGUAUCGGGGAAGUAUAAGGAUGUGAUGGAGAUAAAUUGGGAUUCGGGGAUGGGGAUAGUUGUGAAAUUGGUGAGAUUUUGGGAGAAGUAUAAGAAGACGAUGGAGAUAAAUUGGGAUGCGGGGAUGGGGAUAGUGAUGGAAAUGGUGAAACUUUUGGAGAGGAUGUUAGAGAAGUAUGAGGAUGUGAUGGAGAUAAAUUUGGAGUUGAGGAUGCGGAUAGUGGUGAAAUUAGUGAGAUUUUUAGUGAAGUAUAAGAAGGGGAUGGAGAUAAAUUGAGAUGCGGGGAUGGGAAUAGUGAUGGAAAUGGUGAAACUUUUGAAGGGGAUGUCGGAGGAGUAUGAGAAUGUGAUGGAGAUAAAUUAGGAGUUGGGAAUGGGGAUGGUAAUGGAAUGGGUGAAAUUCUUGGAGGGGAUGCUGGUGAAGUAUAAGGAGGAGAUGGAAAUAAAUUUGAAGCCGGGGAUGGGGAUGGGGAUGGAAUUUGUGGAACUUUUGAAGGGGAUGUAACUGGAGAAAUAUAAGAAGGCAAUGGAGGUAAAAUGGGAGCUGAAGAUGGGGUCGGAGGUGAAGCUGAUGGCAAUGGUGGAGAUUUUGCUGAUGGUGCAGGAGAUUUUGCUGGUGGUGGUGGUGGUGGAGAUUUUGCUCGUGGCGGCGGCCGAAGGUGAUGAAUUUUUGGAGGUGGUGGGGGCAUUUUCUUUUUAUUUGGAGGUGGUGGUGAUCAAGGGGGCGACGGUGUUCCUCGAUUCAGAAGUCCUGAUGGUUGAAAUACAGAGUUUUUAUGAUUAUAUGGUAAUGGUGGAUCUUCGUGAUCAUGAGGUGGACUAGGAGGUUCCUCAUUAUCAUAAAUAUUGGCCGCCGCGUUAAUUGCUAGUAAGCCGAAAACCAUGGCAUGCACAAGAUGACACCGAGAUGGUGACGCCAUCCUUUCGAACUCUUCCCAAUAAUCACAUCGCUAAUUAUAUAUCAAAGUAAUUAUAAUCAAGUUUAUACACCUGGAAGUCCAAAUAAUUGAGAUUUUCACGUGGGGAAAGUCUUCAAUGUAUAUAGGUAAACAUUGUCCUGAUAUCUAAAUUCUCUUUUACUGUUUUUCUCCAAAGAAAUUAGACGAGUAAAAAGUUUAACGAUAAGAAUUGUAAAAAAAGAAGUAAUUAUCGUAAUAAAAGACAUUCAUUUAGUAUUAUAAUGCUUUUCAACAAACAUAAUAUUUUCCUCCAUAUUAUCCAUAUAUUAUUACAAUAACUAAUUUUCUAUGAUAUUAUUCUGGCAUGAUUGAUGGAGCACAAUCGACUUUCCUUCAACUGAUUACAUUUUCAAUACAUGCAUUAUAUAAUAUGUAAGUCUCUUCGAAGAAACCCACUGCCAUCAUUAACCAUAUAUAAUCUGAAAAAAAAAACACAAUUAGAGAUUAAAUAUUGGUAAAUUAAAAAAAAAAGAACCAUGUUAUCGAAAUGAACAAUCUAUUACAAAGAAAGUUAAAAGAACUGACCAAUUUUGAUAGAUAUUUUUGAACAAGGUGGAGGUUAAUUAUUGGAUGAAGGAGGUGAUGGAGAUAGAGGAGGCGGGGAUUUAGAUUUAAAGUGAAAGAAGGGAGGAAGUGUAAACCUCGAAGGAGGUGGAAAUUUAAGGAUAUGUGGAGGGGGAGAAGGAGAUGGACGUGGCGGGGAUUUAAAGUAAAAGAAGGGAGGAAGUGUAAACCUCGGAGGAGGUGGAGAUUUGAGGAUAGGUGGAGGGGGAGAAGGAGAUGGAGGUGGCGGCGAUUUAAAGUGAAACAAGGGAGGAAGUGUAAACCUCGGAGGAGGUGGAGAUUUGAGGAAAGGUGGAGGGGGGGAAGGAGAUGGAGGUGGCGGGGAUUUAAAGUGAAAGAAGGGAGGAAGUGUAAACCUCGGAGGAGGUGGAGAUUUGAGGAUAGGUGGAGGGGGUGGAGGAGAAGUAUAAGGAGGUGAUGGAAUGGGUGAAAUUUUUGGAGGGAAUGUCGGGGGAGUAUAAGGAUGUGAUGGAGAUAAAUUGGGAGUUGGGGAUGGGGAUGGUGAUGGGGAUGGAAUGGGUGAAAUUCUUGGAGGGGAUGUCGGGGGAGUAUAAGGAUGUGAUGGAGAUAAAUUGGGAGUUGGGGAUGGGGAUGGUGAAACUUUUGGAGAGGAUGUCGGGGGAGUAUAAGGAUGUGAUGGAGAUAAAUUAGGAGUUGGGGAUGGGGAUGGGGAUGGGGAUGGAAUGGGUGAAAUUCUUGGAGGGGAUGUCGGGGGAGUAUAAGGAUGUGAUGGAGAUAAAUUGGGAGUUGGGGAUGGGGGUGGUGAAACUUUUGGAGAGGAUGUCGGGGGAGUAUAAGGAUGUGAUGGAGAUAAAUUAGGAGUUGGGGAUGGGGAUGGGGAUGGGGAUGGAAUGGGUGAAAUUCUUGGAGGGGAUGUCGGGGGAGUAUAAGGAUGUGAUGGAGAUGAAUUGGGAGUUGGGGAUGGUGAUGGAAAUCGUGAAACUUUUGGAGAGGAUGUCGGUGGAGUAUAAGGAUGUAAUGGAGAUAAAUUGGGAGUUAGGGACAGUGAUGGAAUGGGUGAAAUUCUUGGAGGGGAUGUCGGGGGAGUAUAAGGAUGUGAUGGAGAUAAAUUGGGAGUUGGGGAUGGGGAUGGUGAAACUUUUGGAGAGGAUGUCGGGGGAGUAUAAGGAUGCGAAGGAGAUAAAUUAGGAGUUGGGGAUGGAGAUGGAAUGGGGGGAAUUCUCGGAGGGGAUGCUGGUGAAGUAUAAGGAGGAGAUGGAGAUAAAUUGGAAGCCGGGGAUGGGGAUGGUGGAACUUUUGAAGGGGGUGUAACUGGAGAAAUUUUAGAAGGCAAUGGAGGUAAAAUGGGAGCUGAAGAUGAGGUCGGAGGUGAAGCUGAUGGCAAUGGUGGAGACUUCGCUGGUGGUGGCGGGGGUGGAGACUUUGCUGGUGGUGGAGGUGAUUGUGUUUUCUUCUUUUUUGGAGGUGGUGGGGGCGUUUUCUUCUUAUUUGGAGGUGGUGGUGAUCGAGGCGGCGGCGGCGGUGUUCCUCGAUGAAGAAGUCCUGAUGGCAGAAAUAGAGAGUUUUUAUGAUUAUAUGGUAAUGGUGGGUCUUCGUGAUCAUGAGGUGGCCUAGGAGGUUCCUCAUUAUCAUAAAUAUUGGCCGCCACGUUAAUUGCUAGUAAGCCGAAAACCAUGGCAUGCACAAGAUGACGCCGAGAUGGUGAUGCCAUCCUUUCGAACUCUUCCCGAUAAUCACACUUGCUCUCACUAAUUAGCUUCUGAACAAGGAAUGGACGUGAAGAUUUGCUUUUAUAGUUGUGUUUUUAGUGUAUAAAGACGAGUUGAUCCCCUGUGUAUUUCGGUAAUUGAGGAGGCCUAUCUAAUGGAAUAAUAAUCACAGCUAGGGGUUGUACCCUUUGGGUAAUUAACAUAGCAUAACUGUAAUUUUAGUGGACUUUUUAAUUGAAGGGACCAUUUAAUCCUAUGGUUUAUUAGGUGUAACCACAAUUAGAAAUCUUCUUAUAGAGACGCUACAAGUCAGUUUAGUUUAGUGGACCAUCUAAUCCUAUCUUAGGAGGUAUGCUAAAACCUCUCCAUCGGUUCAGUCAGUUCUUAGCAUCUAGCACCCCAUCCUCAUCACUAAACGAAAAUGAAAAGCACUAAUUGAUUUAUUAUGAGUGCAUGGUGAAUAAAAAACUAUUAAUCAAUAAAAUUUGUCAAGUUUUAAAAAUUUAUUUUUCUUUUUUAUUGUGACUUUAUAGAAUGAGAAACUUUAUGGCUUGUUGUUGUUGGGUUUUUAGUAAACCAUGUGUUAAGUUUCAUAGAUAAAUUUUAAAGGUAUUUUUGAAAUGAUAUUUUUUAUUUGAAAUUAUUGUAGCAAAACAAAGGUUCUUUUAUUUGAUUUGUUUUUGGUUAUUUUUUAUUAUCAAUAUCAUAAAAAAACACUCUAAACACAAAAAUUAAUUUAACCCUUGAAAUUGAAUUCAAUUCCAAGAGUUCCAAACAGCAAAAUAAGGAACCACCUUCAUAUAUAUAUAUAUAUAUAUAUAUAUAUAUUUCUGUUUCUCUAGUUGACUAUCAUGAGGGUUCUCCAAUAUUAUUCUUUUCUUUCACUUUAAUAUCGUGGCGUUAAAUUAUAUAUAUUUGAUCAUGUUAGUUAUUUAGUGUUUUAAUUAGAUAGUGGUUAAUCAAUAUUUUUAUUUUAGGAGAUCGUCUAGGAUCAAACACAUAGCCUUAGAACUUGGUAAUGGUUGAAUCAAAAUGUUUCGGGUCUGGUAUAUCUAUCAGACCCACGCUGCCUUGAGCUUGGAUGACCGCCAAACUCAAGUUCUUUGGGCUGGCAUGUUUGCCAAACCCACGUUACUUUGAACUUGGCUGAUGGUCAAGUCUAAGUUUAUUGGGUCUGACAUGUUUGUUAGACCCCACUACCUCGGACUUGGCUGACUACGAAGUUCAAGCUCUUUGAGUCUUGUAUGUUUGUCAAACUUACGCUAUCUUGGACUUGGUUGACUGUCAAGUCCAAGUUCUUUGAGUCUGUCAUGUUUGCUAGACCCACGUUAUCUUGGGCUUGGUUGAAUGUCAAGCUCAAGUCAUUUGGAUCUGACUUGUUUGCCAGACCUAAACUAUCUUGAACUUAGUUGACUAUUAAAUUCAAGUUCUUUAGGUCUAACCUAUUUUUCAAAUCCAUUUUAUUUGGUUAAGAUUUUUUAUUUAUUUAUAAAAAUCUUAACCAAAUAUUUUGACUCAUCAAUAUUAAUUAGCCCUUAACUUCUGAAUACGAUAUCCAAUGCAUAAUAUGUCAUCCCCCUGGCCUCUUAAACCUUAAUAUAAUCUUUAGGAUAGCAAAUGAGUUAUGUGUCUCUUAAUUAUAUUUUCCUAACAAGUAGAAGUAAUGUAUUUCUUUAGUUCAACCGGCCUUAAUUACCAUUUGUCUGUAUCAAUUAUUGGAUUUUUAUUUUUUAUUUAAUAUUGUAAUAUCAUUUGAAUGCUCAUGGAUGUGCCACCUUAAUAGAUCCAUAACAAUUCAUAAAUCCAUUUCUUAAAACAAAUAUGAAUCAAUUAGAUUUACCUAUCAUGUGUUUCAGAAAAGAUUUUAGAGAUUUUUUUGUUAAUUAUCUAAAAAGAAGAGCCUUUCAUUUCACUCUUACUCUAUAUCCAUUAUUUAAGCAGUCUAGUUCACACCUUGAAGCUUAAAAAGUUGAAAAGGUUAAGUGCUUUAUUUCUCUUCUUUCUUAGGUUUGCAGCUUAAAAACUGUAGUAAUCGAUGAUAGCUACAAUAUAAAGCCUUUCUUAUUAUUCAUCACCUGUAAUUUGUUUUCUAUUUUGUGGUUAGAGCGACUCAACAAUACUAUUUACAUUAGGUUUUUUAUUUUUUAAAAACUAAUUAACAUCUGUUUAUUAUUGUGCUUUGAUUAUUGUAUUAUAUAUAGUAUAUUGUAUUAUGUUGUUUUACACUAUGAGUUGAAAGUUGUAUUAGUAAAAAUAGUUUUAUGUAAUUGACUAUUUUGCUUUUAAAAUAAUUUUAUAUCAUCAUUUGUGUUUCCUUUCUUUUACUUGGUUUUGAAUUUUUUUUUUUGUCUAAAUUUUAGAAUUUUCAUCUAGAUUAUUCUUAUUCUUGCAUUGUAUGCAAAGAUUUCAUUUUUUCUGGAUUGUAUAGCUUCACUACGAGAUUUCACAGUUUUUCCGACGAACCGAAUCCGUCGGUGUGAGAUUCAGACUUUGUCUGUAAUACCCCAUUCCGUCGCUAAGUCUGUCGGAGAAAAAAAAAUACCUAUAGUUUUAUAGACGGAAAAUGCGCGCAAAACAAAAAAACUUCCAGCUAGAAAUAUACCGAUGCAUAUAUUCAGUCGGUGAUAGUGGCAUAUCCAGUAAAUAUAUUUCAACUCUCGGUAAAAUGCCGACGAAUGUUAUCCUUCUGUGAAGGCGUCGGUGAUUGUGGCAUUGUUAGUAAAUAUUUCUCAACUCUCAGUGAAAUGCCAACAGAGACAGUCUGUCGGUAAAUCCAUCGGUGGAGUUUUUAUUUUUUUUAAAAAAAAAAAUUAUUUAGAAUAAAUAAUAUAAAAUUACAUAAAUUAAUAGUAAAAAAACCAAUUAUGCAAAUAAAAUUUUAUUAAACAUCAAAAAUAAAAAAAAUAAAGUUAAAUAAUAUUCAUUACAAAUUUAAUGUGUUUCCAAAAAAUAUUAAACUAGAACAAUGGUGGAGGUGGAGGAGGCUGGUUGUUCCCGGGACCAUACGGCCAAAAAGAGGGCGCACAUGUAUCACCACUCUGUGAUGUAAUCUUCAUGACCAUUUGGUGCAGUUGCUCAUAAUUCGCCGAGAGUUACUCGUAUUUUUCGGUGAGAUGAGCUAUGUGUUGUUCAUAAUUCGCCGAUAGUUGCUCGCAUUUCUCGGUGAGAUGAGUCAUGUGUUGUUGCAAGGCCACGAACUCCUUAGAUUGGGUGCUCGAAACUGAUUGGGAGCUCCCAACGGUUGAGACACUACGGGUCGCCCGCAAGUUAUCGGUCGUAGUGUUGGAGAGCUCGUACACCCGAUUUUUAUCGGAUCCACUGGACGAUCCUACCUCCAUUCUCAAAUCCGUCGAAAUCUGGAUGGGUCGAAGGAUUGUCCCCACUACCAUAAUCUUUAGAUUUACCGACAGAAUUUUCCGUUGGUAUUUGUACUAUCAUUCCGUUGGUAAUUAAUUUACCUACGAAAUCACCGAUGGAAAUGCUCCGUCGGUGAAUCUUUCGUCGGUAAUUUUUUUUUCCGUUGGUAAUAAAAAAUAUUAUUACCGAUGGAUUUACUAACGGAAAAGGUGCUCAAAAAAAUUAUCUGCUUCAUUCCAUCGGUAUUUCCCUCAGAAACAUACCGUAUGUAAUUCCAUUGGUAAUUAUUUAAAAAUAUUUUUUUAAAAAUCCAUUUUACAAAACUAUAAAAUAGUUAAUUUAACAUAAAUCAACACUCUAUAAUACUCAAAAUGCUUGGAAAAAAGAAGAAAAUCAUAUGAAAAAAAAAUCCUACAACAAUAUUCAUACAAUUAUUAAGAACAAAAACAAUUAAAAAUAAAAUAAAAAACAAAUAUAGUGAAAAAAAACAAGAAAAAAGAAGAAGAAAAAAUCUUACCUUAAUUUGGUUGCUAGUGAAGCUAAGAAGAGAAAAAAAAAACAAAUUUGUAAAGUAUAUUAAUUAAAAAAAAAUGAGAAGAAAAAAGAAGAAAGGAGAAGAAUACAUACCUAAACGUGGAGAAGAAGAGAAGGAGUUGAGGAGAGAAGAGAAGAGAAGAGAAAGAAAUGGAUAUUGAUGUUUUUUACAUAUGGGGAAGAAGAAGAAGAAGAAGAAGAAGAAAGGAGCCUUGUCUGUUGUGAAAUUAUGGAUUCUAGGCUUUUUACCGACGAAUAAUUAAAUAUUAAUAUUUUUAAUCAUUCAAUCGAUGAUUCCGUCUGUAAUAUUUAAUUUAAAAUUUCAAUUAAUCAAAAAUUUUUAGAAACCGCAAAUAUCACCGACGACUUUUCAAUCCGUCGGUGAUUCCGUCUGUAAUAUUUAAUUAAAAAUUUUAAUUUAAUCAAAAUUUUUUAGAAAACCGCCAAAUAACAUCGACAACUUUUCAAUCCGUCGGUGAUUUUGUCUGUAAAGAACAGUAAUUAAUAGUGCAAUUAGGAAGUGAACACUUCCAGAGUUCUCUGGAAAAUACCGACGGAAAUUUCCGUUGGUGAUUCCCUUUGUAAUUGACAUGAUGAACAAUGUUUAUAGUUUACCAACGAAUUUACCGAUGGAUUUUACCGACGAAAUUUAUUACGUUGGUAAAAAUGGCAAGUCAUCGUUUUUUUUUGCUUUGUUUUAAUUAUUUUUUUCCCACUGUAAUUCCUUUAGUAAAUACCAAGGGAAUAUUUCCGUUGGUAUAUCCGUCGGCAAUUUAUCAAUGAAAAUAUUCCCUCGUUAUUUUCGUUUGUAUUUAUCGAUUUUCUGGUAGUGCCCCAUAUCUCUCCCUCAAUCGGCUAUUAUAGGUCUCCUGAAAAUGAAAAAAGAAAUCAUCAUAUUCAAUUCAAUAAAAAUAAUAACUUCCAAAAUAAAAUGGUUGAACGAACAUACCACAAAGUGUUGAGCGCGGUUGUCAACGAACUGUUGCACCCUCUUUUGGCGGUCUUCACUCCGCACAUGCGUCUCUACAAACAGCUCCAUUAGGUUUGGCUCAUGUCCAAGAGACGUAGCCUGUAAGAAAAAAAUUAAUUAAGUAACAACAAAUUAAUUAACUAUAUAUUUUAUUUAAAUUAAUCUUACCAUCCGUUUCACAGGUGCAACAAACGGAACGGAGCCGCCGGUGUGCGUUGUCACCGAACCAUGAAUUUACCAGUUUCGGUUGCCCACACUAGACUGUGAGCGUCGUGUGAACCGCUCAGACAUCACGUGCUCAAUAUAUUGCUGCCAAAUAUCUCCCGGGAUGUAUAGUGGUUUGAAAUCCCUCCAAACCGCCACGUCGUUCCAACCUUGGAGACUGUUAUCUCUCGCGUUUUUUUUUUUUGCCUUUUUUUAUGCUUCAUACCAAAAAUUACGCAACCUACUUCCAUUGUGACAAAUUAGAUUUUAAAACAUAAUUUUUUUUAAAAAAAAUAUCAUAUUGUUUUCGAUGUUACCUAAUUGCUGCGUGAUUUUCCCACACCCUCCUCACAACAUUGUAAAGCGUGCUAUCCCAGUCGAAUUUGUCCUGUGUAUAAAUAAUUUAUUUAAAAUAAAAUAAUAAUUUAUUUAUAAUUAUAAUAAUAAUAAUUUAUUAAAAAUUAGAUGGAAAUUAGAAAUUAACACCAACCUCAAAUUUGUCAAACCAUGCAUCGAUAUAAGGUCUCCAUUCAGGAUGUCUGGAAACCUGACUCUAUUUAAAUAAUGGAAUCUCCAUCAAUGAUAUUACUUGGGCAACCUCAAUGUUGGUGAACUUGAAAAUAAAAUAAAUUAAUGAAAUAUUGAUUAGUUGUUCAUAAAUUAUGUUAUAAUUAAAAAAACUAAAACCGAAACAAACUUGUAUAGAAAGGUUGUCUUUUCAAUGUGCCUCGUACUUGCAGGUGAAUGGAUUCCGCUGUGAAGGCACAUCGCCUCUACGCUGUGAAACCACGCUGGAAGAGACAGCAUCGCGAGUCGGCGCAGGUGCCUCUUCUUGAUCGGCACCUAAGGACAUUUCAUCCUUACUGCUAGAAGAACUAGCUGCGACCAUAUGUGAGUGACAAGCUGUUGAUUUCGUUCUAUGCAUCUACAUAAUUUUAAACGACUAAUUACAUAAUUAAAUUCGAUUAUUAAAAAAAAAUAGGCAGCACCUCCCCUAUACUAGAGACUACCCAAAGUUUUCAAACCUGCAAAUAUUGACAAUAGCCACAACCUGAGUAAUAGUUGGCAUUCAUUUAAGAGCAAACUCAAUCUACCCUUCCAAUCAUCCAAUUAUUCGAGCAGACUCAAAUAUUGAUAACAUCACAAUCAUAAUUUACAAACAUAACAAAGACUAAAAGUUAAUUGACAUGUAUUUUUAGUUUUAAACUUCAUUUACACAACAAAAGAUAGACAACAAGUUUUACACUACUGAAGAAAGUUUAAAAUAUACACACACACAUCGCCAUUACCUAAAUUAAAAAUACUAGCAAUAAACUGAGAUAAAAAUAAUAGCACACAAAUUAAUCACAUAUCAUCUUUCAUUAUCCUUAUCAUAAAAUUAAUGGAAAUAAUUAAACACAUAACAUGCAAUAAUAGAGUAAAAUUAAGAUAAAAUAAUUAAAUUUAUUCCUAUAUAUUCAAUUACUAAUUACAAGGUAAAUUCAACAAUAACAAUUAAAAUUCAACAAAGUAUUCAAUUAUUAUGGCAAUACAAACAAUAAAAUAUAUUCAACAAUAUAAAAAAAAUGAUGGAGGGAAUAUCAUCUCAAGUUUGCAUAGUGUCUCGACGAUAUUUGUUUCAAGCCUCUCAAUGUGAUCAACAUUCAACUUGCUGGAGCAUAUAUCUCUAAAAAAAUGAUUGAUCUCCGUGAGUGUAUCUCAUAUUCCUUUUGGUAACAAAUCACGAUAAGCUAAUGAAAUGAGUGUUUGCACAAACACGUGGCAGUCAUGACUCUUCAUUCCAUACAAUCUGCAUUCCUCUAUAUUAACCAACCUUGAUAUGUUCGAGGCAUAUCCAUCGGGAAAACGCAGACUCUUAAGCCAUUUGUAGACUAAUAGUCGUGCAUUUUUCUUUAAAACGAAACUUGUUCUUGGUUUUGCGACCCGUGACCCAUCACAAACCAACUCCAUAUUUUUACGGUUACAUAACAAAGCUAUAUUCAAUCUAGCCUUAAUGUUGUCCUUUGUCUUCCCCUUCACAUCCAUAACGGUGUUGAAAAUGUUCUCAAACACGUUCUUUUCUAUGUGCAUGACGUCAAGGUUAUGGUAGAGGAGAUUGGUCUUCCAAUAAGAUUGGUCUUCCAAUAAGAAAGCUCCCAAAAGAUACUUCGCUUUACCCAAUUAUGGGUCAAACCAAAACCACUACAAGAUUUCACAGUUUUACCGACGGAAACAUUCCGUCGGUGUGUGAUUAGAAGUUCGUCGGUGAUUUUUUUACCGACGUCAUCACCGACGGAUUACGUCCGUCGGCUUUACCUUCGUCGGUGAUUCCCCAUUCCGUCGCUAUAUCGGUCAGAAAAACAAAAAAACCAUUUGCCGAUGGUUUUACAGACGGAAUUUGCGCGCCAAAAAAAAAGAUUCCCGCUUGAAAUAUACCGACGGAUUUUUAUUCCGUCGGUAUAUUGUGAUUGACCGACGGACAAUAACCGUCGGUAAAUCUGUCGGUGAGUGUAUGAAAUACCGACAGCAUAUGUCCGUCUGUAAAUUCGUCGGUAAUUGUGGAAGCUACUGUUACAUGCCGACGGAUUAAUUCCGUCGGUAAGUCUGUCGGUGAGUGUUUAAAAUACCGACCGAAUUCAUCUGUCGGUAAAAUCCUUGAUAAUAGUUUUUUUCUUAAUUUGUUUUUAAAAAAUUAUUUAGGAUAUAUAAUAUAAAACUAUAUAAAUUAAUUGUAAUACAAACCAAUUAUGCAAAUAAAAUUUAUAUUAAACAUAAAAAAAAAACAAAGUUAAAUAAUAUUCAUUACAAACUGAAUAUGUUUCAAAAAAAAUAUUAAAUGAAGUUUUAAAGGUAAAUAAUGUUGAUUACAAAUUAAUAUAAAGAUGAUGGAGCUGGAGGAGGAGGAGGAGAUCCUGGCGGAGGCUGGUGGUUAUACGGCCAAAAAAGAUUAGGCGCACAUGUUCCGCUAUUUGACAAUUUCAUAAUCAUUUCGUGGAGAUGUUCAUAAGCCGCUAAAAAAGAUUAAAUGUUGAUUUCGUGGUUGUGCUUGAGACGCUUUGAGUUGCUCAGACUCUGCUCUUUGUUCCGCUUUGAGUUGUGUGUACUCCGCUUUUAGGUUAUCGUAUUUCUCGGUGAGUUGCUGCAAAGCCACGAACUCCUUAGAUUGGGAGCUCGAUAUUGAUUGGGAGCUCCCAACGGUUGAAACACUACGGGUCGACCGCAAGUUGUUGGCCGUAGUGUUGGAGAGCCCGUAAACCCGAUUUUUAUCGGGUCCACCUGACGAGCCAACCUCCAUCCACAAAUCUAGAUCGAAUUCCGAAUGGGUCAAAGUAUCAUCCCCGUAUCUCUCCCUCAACCGAUUAUUAUAGGUCUCCUGAAAAUAAAAAUAAAAAGUAAUCAUCAUAUUCAAUACAAUAAACAUAAUAACUUACAAAAUAAAAUGGUUGAACAAACAUACCACGAAAUGCUGAGCACGGUUAUCAACGAACUAUUGCGCCCCUUUCUGGCGGUCUUGACUCCGCACGUGCGUCUCCACAAACAGCUCCAUCAGGCUCGGCUCACGUCCAAGAGACGCAGCCUAUAAUGAAAAAAGAUAUAUUAACAACAACUGAAUUUAACGAUAUAUUUCAUUUAAAUUAAUCUUACCAUCCGUUUCGCAUGUGCAGCAAACGGAAUGAAGCCGCCAGUGUGCGUUGUCACCCUGCCAUGAAUUGGCCGAUUCCGGUUGCCAGAACCGGACUGUGAGCGUCGUGUGAACCGCUCAGACGUCAUGUGCUCAAGAUAGUGCGGCCAUAUAUCUUCCGGGAUGUAUAUCGGUUUGAAAUCCCUCCAAACCGCAACAUCGUUCCAGCCUUGGAAACCCCUAUCCCUCGCGGUUUUUUUUGCCUUUUUCUGUGCUUCAUACCAAAAAUCACGCAACCUACUUCACGCAACCAAAAAUUACAUUUCGAAACAUAAAUUUUUGUCUAAAAAAAAACAUGUAUUGUUUUCGAUCUUACCUAGUUGCCGCGUGAUUUUCCCACACCCUCCUCACAACAGUGUUAUGCUCAAUGUCCCAGCAGAAUUUGUGCUGUGUAUAAAUAAACAAGUUUAAAUAAAAAUAAUACAAUUAUAUUAAUAAGCUGAAAAUUAUAAAUUAAUACCAACCUCAAACCUGUUAAACCAUGCAUUGAUUUGAGGCAUCCAUUCAGGAUGCUUGGAUAUCUGACUCCAUUGAAACAAUGGAAUCUCCAUCGACGAUUUAAACGCCGAUGAUAUUACUCGAGCGGCUUCAAUGUUUGUGAACCUGAAAAUAAAUGAAAUAAAUUCAAUAGUGAUUACUUCAUAAAUUAUGUUGUAAUUUUUUUUUAAAAAAACUAAAACCUUAACAAACUUACAUUGAAAGGUCGUCCUUCCACUGUGCUCGUACUUGUGGGUAAAUUGAUUCCGCUGCGAAGGCACGCCGCCUCUGCGUUGUGAAGUACCGCUGGAAGAGGCAACAUCGGUUGACGGCGUAGGUAGUGUAGGUGCCUCUUCUUGAGAGGCACCUAAGGAAAUAUCAUCAUCGCUGCUAGACGAACUAGCUGCGACCGCACCUGAGCGACCAGCUCUGGUUUUCGUUCUACGCAUCUACACAAUUUGAUACAAAUAAUUAUAUAAUUAAAUUCAAAUGUAAAAAAAAAAAUUCGAUAGCACCUCCCCUAUACCGGAUACUACCCAAAUCCACAAACAUGCACAUAUUAACAAUAGCCACAACAAAUUUACCCAAUCUUUACUAAUUAUUCCAACAUAUUCAAUUAGUAAUCCUAAGGUAAAUUCAACAUUAAGAAUUACAAUUCAAGUAAUUAUUCAAUAAUUAUGUCAAUACAACAAAACAAUAAAUAAAUAAAAAACUGUAGAAUAACAAUCAAAAUAAAUGGAAAAAAUUAAACACAAAGCAUGUAAUAAUAGAGUAAAACUAAUAAUUAUUCCAACAUAUUCAAUUACUAAUUCUACGGUAAAUUCAACAUUAACAAUUACAAUUCAAGUAAUUAUUCAAUAAUUAUGCCAAUACAACAAAACAAUAAAUUAAAAAAAAAACUCUAGAAUAACAAUCAAAAUAAAUGGAAAAAAUUAAACACAAAUCAUGCAAUAAUAAAGUAAAAUUAAUAAUUAUUCCAACAUAUUCAAUUACUAAUUCUAUGGUAAAUUCAACAUUAACAAUAAAUAUUCAACAAAUUAACUAAUAAUAAUUAUGCCAAUACAACAAUAAAAAAUAUUCAAUAAAUUCAAAAAAAAAAACUAUAGACUUUAGCAAUGAAUUAUGCAAAAAAAAAACUAUAGACUUUAUCUACAUUACAAAAAAUACACCAAAACAAAAAAAAUAACCAAAAAAAUAGCAAAAAAAAACUAUUAAAGUAAAAUGAAAUAGAGGAAACACUAACCUUUUAAACUGAUGAAGAUGAUGAAGAAAACUUGCUAGAGAUUGGAGGUGAAAGCUUUGAAGAAUGGAGAGGAAAAAAAUCAAAUUCUUAAGGUAAGAAACGAAGGAGAAGAAAAAAUGAACUAAACGGGCGGUCACUUGAACUUAUAUGGCAGUUUUACCGACGGCUUACCGACGGCUUCACCGACGGAUAUAAAAUUAAUUAUUAUUUUAAUUUAUUCCGUCGGUGAUUUGUUAAAAAUCAGUCGGUAAAUUUUGAAUUUCGCACCAAAAUUUUUAAUGACCCUCCAUAUUUUUCGUGGUCCGUCGGUAAUUCCAUCGGCAAGAUGACGCGGUCAGAGGUGCAUUUAAUGCACAACCCUUUGAAAUUCGCGCGGUCUGUCGGUAAUUUUGUCGGUAAAAUGGACCCGCCGACAACUUACCGACGGAUUUAAAUGCGUCGGUGUGGCCGUCGGUGAUAGGGUGGCAUUUCAAGUAAUUAUUUUCGAACUCUCUGUGAAAUGCCGACGGACUUAAGGCCGUCGGUGUUGCCAUUUCAAGUAAUUAUUUUUGAACUCUCUGUGAAAUGCCGACGAACUUAAGGCCGUCGGUGAUCGGGUGGCAUUUCAAGUAAUUAUUUUCGAACUCUCUGUGAAAUGCCGACGGACUUAAGGCCGUCGGUGAUGGGGUGGCAUUUCAAGUAAUUAUUUUCGAACUCUCUGUGAAAUGCCGACGGACUUAAGUCCGUCGGUGUAUCCGUCGGUGAUCGGGUGGCAUUUCAAGUAAUUAUUUCAUGCCACAAAAUAUAUCAUCCAUGAUCAAUAAUUAUUUCAAGUAAUUAUCUCAUAAUUGUGGCAUUUCAACUAAUUAUUUCAAGUAAUAAAUAUUUUGUGUUUCAAAAUAUAUAUAUCAUUCAUAAUCUAAAUUACAUGAAAAAAAGGGUUUUACAUAGGGCUUUAUUUUGGUAGUUAGUCAGAAUUUUCUUCUUCAUCAUCAUCAAUUGAAUUGUCAUCACCUUCAUCGCAAUCUGCAAUAUGAAUAUCAUCUUCUUCAUCGAUAUUUGGUUGUCCGCUAGAGCUCAAAACAAAAUUUAACUCCUCUGCGUCAACAUCAACAAGACUAUCAUCGAAAACACGAAAAUUUGAAUUUUCUUCCAAUUCAAUCGAAGGAGCAACUUGAUAUGGUUCAACCACCUCACUAACUUGAAAGACUUCAUCCCGCACACUUGUGUCUUCGUUCUCAUCCUGAACAACCUCGACACGACCCCGGGGUUUCAUUUUUAAAACGGACAACCAAUCCACUCUUGAUCGAUCCUUUCUAAAUGAAGGGGUGUAUGUGUAAUAAACUUGUUGACAUUGCUUUGCGAAAACAAAGACAUCGUUUAUGUUGCGGAGUCUAGCUUUUGAGUUGAUUUCGACCAGACCAUAGUGCAGAUCAACUCUGAUUCCUCUGUCAGUCGUGUCAUACCAAUAGCAUUUGAAUAAAAACACUAUAUUCUGCUCGUUAUGAUAUUGCAGUUCGACGACCUCUUCUAAUCUACCAUAGUAGUCAACUUCUAACUCACUACUAGUGGAUCCCUUAACACAAACACCGCUGUUGUAUGUCUUUCUUCCUUGCCCGUAUUCUUCAGUAUGGAAAACAUAUCCAUUGACAAAAUACCCGUUGUAGCACUUACAUUUUCUUUCAGGCCCCAGGCUUAGUGAAGACAAUGACUUAGGUGCACUCCUUCCCAUUUGAUAAACCUUGUAUGUAAUGUACAUCAAUAAACAAUAAAUGAACGAGAAUCUCGUAAUGACAUACAUACGUACAGUAAUUUUGCAAGUUAGAAUGAGUUUGUGAUAGUGCUUACAUGUGUUCUGAACCACGUGGCAAACUGCUCAUCUUGUAAUUGAAAGAUCUGGGAUUCGGUCAGCUGUGAGUUAUUGGAUAGCAAAUAUUGACGAUGUUGCCUGCAAGUGAUAAUGAGUGUAUGAUAUUACAAUAUAUAAUUAACAGUAUAUUACUAACAAAGUUUAAUUAGUAUAAACUUACUGAAUAAAAGGUCUCAGCUCAUCACAGUUAAAUAGAACAUAUCGAAGCCUCAACAUGCGCCUUGUUCUUAACCUUUUUCUUGAGAUUAAACAAGUACCUGCAUUGAAAUAUUAAUCAAGUAUUUUCAAUUAAGAAAAACAUAUAAAAUACUUUUAUAUAUGAAUUACAUUGCAACUGUAAUAUCUAACCGUUCGAAUGGGUACAUCCAUCUAUAUUGGACCGGUCCUCCAGCUUUUGCCUCGAACGGUAGAUGUAUAGGGAGAUGCUCCAUUAAGUCAAAAAAUGAUGGAGGGAAUAUCAUCUCAAGUUUGCAUAGUGUCUCGACGAUAUUCGUUUGAAGCCUCUCAAUGUGAUCAACAUUCAACUUGCUGGAGCAUAUAUCUCUGAAGAAAUGACUGAUCUCCGUGAGUGCAUCCCAUAUUCCUUUUGGCAACAAAUCACGAAAAGCUAAUGGGAUGAGUGUUUGCAUAAACACGUGGUAGUCAUGACUCUUCAUUCCAUACAAUCUGCAAUCCUCUAUAUUAACCAGCCUUGAUAUGUUCGAUGCAUGUCCAUCCGGAAAACGCAGACUCUUAAGCCAUUUGUAGACUAGCAGUUGUGCGUUUUUCUCUAACACGAAGCUUGCUCUUGGUUUUGCGACCCGUGACUCAUCAUAAACCAACUCCAUAUUUUUACGGUUACAGUAUAAAGCUAUAUCCAAUCUAGCCUUAAUGUUGUCCUUUGUCUUCCCCUUCACAUCCAUGACGGUGUUGAAAAUGUUCUCAAACAUGUUCUUUUCGAUGUGCAUGACGUCAAGGUUAUGCCGGAGCAGAUUGGUCUUCUAAUAAGGAAGCUCAAAAAAGAUACUUCGCUUUACCCAAUUAUGGGUCAAACCAAAACCAGGAAACUUUUGCUUACCUGAUUGAAGGCCAAACACAAUGUCACCGUACUCUGAGACAACAUCAUGCAAUUCUUCACCAGAAAGACGCGGGGAUGCAACAUCUUUUUCUACUCUGCCAAUCAAGAAAUCUUUUCUGUUCUUUCUGUACCUGUGAUGAAGUGGCAAGAAGAGACGGUGACAGUCAAAAAAAGAAGCUUUACCUCCGUUUGCUAGCGUGAAUGCCUUGUUGUUUUCCAUGCAAUAUGGACAUGCGAGUUUCCCAUGCGUGCUCCAACCAGAAAGCAUUCCAUAAGCCGGAAAAUCAUUGAUAGUCCACAUCAAUGCCGCCCUCAUAAGGAAAUUUUGUUUCCUUGAUAUAUCAUAAGUCAGAGCUCCGGAGGACCACAACUGCGCCAACUCAUCAAUCAACGGUCGAAGACAAACAUUUAUAUUCCGCCCCGGGCUUCUUGGACCGGGUAUGACAGUAGAUAAAAACAUGAACUCCGGCCUCAUACACAUUCCUGGUGGCAAGUUAUAAACUGUGAGUAUGACCGGCCAACAAGAAUAAGAAGCAGCAAAUGACCCAAAUGGGUUGAAUCCGUCUAUACACAACCCAAGACGCACAUUCCUUGAUUCAGCUGAAAAGUGAGGAUGAACACUGUUAAAGCGUUUCCACGCUUCGCCGUCAGAAGGAUGAACCAUCACUCCAUCAACCGCAUGGUGUGCUUGGUGCCAUGUCAUGUGCUUAGCAGUCCUUGGUGACAUGAAUAACCUCUGCAGUCUAGGUGUGAUCGGGAAGUAUCUAAGUUUUUUAUAUGCCACUAGAGUCUUUCCCCUGCCAGUUCUAGGUUUGUAACGGGAAUGCCCGCAUGUCAUGCACUCGGUCAUCUCAGCAUUUUCAAGGUAGUAUAACAUGCAGAAGUUAGGGCACAUGUCAAUUUUUUGGUAUCCUAAACCGAGGGGUUUCAUCAUGGACUUCGCAGCAUAGAAGUUCUCUUUCAGCCUGUUCCCUUCAGGUAAAAUGCUUCUUACUCAUUCAAUAAUCUUGUCAUACCUGGCCUCACUCAACCCGUGAUCUGACUUAAUGGUGAACACCUGUGCUACGGCCGAUAAUUUACUGUGGUUCGUGUAGCCAUCCCAUAAUGGUUCGUCAGAAUCUUUCAACAAAUCAAAAAACCUAGCUGCAUCUGCAUUAGGUUCUUCUUCUACGAUUGGACAUUGACUGCCAUUACCUUGAUUCAUUCUCAUUGCAUCCAUAACCAUAUUUCUGUAAGGAUUAGUGUUGUCAUUUGCCGCUUCAUGCACGUUGCUAGCACUAGAAGUAGACCCAACCACCGUUUCUUCCAUUCUCCUCUCACUCUCGCUAACAAAUACUUCUCCAUGUGCAUACCAACACUGGUAAUUCUCCAUAAACCCUUUGUGUAGAAGAUGCAUCAUUACAACAUCUGGAUGCAGGUACUUUUUAUUUUCACACUUCCUGCAUGGACACCUAAUACCGCCUCCAGUAAAAUUUCUGGGAAUAGAUGUUGCGAAAUUAAUAAAACCCUGAACCCCGUUACAAUAAUCCAUCCUCCGCAAUCCUUGGGGUGAAUCUCGAUACAUCCAUGAACGAUCAUCCAUGACUUAUAUCGAACCUCUAUAAAAUUAUGAUGACAUCAUGUAUUAAUUAAUUAAGUUAGGUAAAUAAACUUGCAAAAAUAUUACUUUACCUCGAGAUUAUCCAACAAACCAAUCACAACUUUUCAUAAAUAUUAAAUAUUCAUUAUUAUUUAUCAACGUCCAUACAAAUUAAAAUAUAUAAAUUUACAGAAAUUACCACUCCGCAAUACCAUUGAUAAAACUUUAAACGGACCCAUUAAGCAAGCUAUUAAUUAUUUCAAAAUAGCACAUGUACUUCGGUAGUUCCAUAAAGUUUUAACAAUUUACAAACAAAUACAAUCUUACAAAAUCUAAUAAACCAUAACAGGUAUAGAAUUAUACAUUCAUAUACUACAAGUUUGUUUGAGAAAUAACAAUAAAACAUGUACAUCUACUACCAAAAUACAUAUACUAAAAAAAAAAAAUUGACAUUUAAUUAAAUGUUAAAAUUUAAAAAGAUAGAAUUACUUACAAAAAUUGAUAAAAUCCGUCGGUAAAUCAGAACACGGAUGCUGUGACCACAAAACUUCAAGAAAUAUAACUUGUUGUGCUGAUAUGAGGAAGAUUUUUUUUUUUUGGGGGGGGGGGAGGGGGGGCUGGUUGUUUGCAGAUGGGGAGAGUUGGGAUUAGGAAGAAGAAGGAGAAAUAGGGGAGGAGUGGGUCGCCAGAGCUGUCAUAUAUUAACUUUUUCCGACGGUUUCACCAACGGAAUUUCCGUCGAUUAAACCGUCGGUGAUUCUGACGAAAACAUAGACACGUCACCGUACGGAUCUGCCAUUUCAAAUCCCUCGGUGAGUCCGUCGGCAAUUUAAACGGCGAACCGGUCACGUCACUGUACGGGCACUGCACGGACUGUCGUUUUGAAUCCAUCGGUGAUUCCGUCGGAAAACAAAUAACCCGCCAAAACCUCCACGUCAGCGACCCGCCUUUUUUUUUAAUUCGGAAACUUUUCCGUCGGUAGUUACCAACUGAAUUAUGGACGGAAAAGUGUCCGUCGGUAAUUGCGACCUCAAAUUACCGACAGAAAUAGUCCGUCGGUAAAUCCGUUGGUAUUUAGCGAAUUUCUGGUAGUGAACCAGGAAACUUCUUCUUACCUGAUUGGAGACCAAACACAAUGUCACCGUACUUUGAUACAACAUCAUGCAAUUUUUCACCAGAAAGACGCGAGGGUGCAACAUCUUUUUCAACUCUGCCAAUAAAGAAAUCCUUUUUGUUCUUUUUGUACAUGUGAUUCGGUGGCAAGAAACGACGGUGAUAGUAAAAAAAGAAGCUUUACCUCCAUUUGUUAGUGUGAAUGCCUUGUUGUUAUCCAUGCAGUAUCGACAUGCUAGUUUUCCAUGCAUGCUCCAACCAGAAACAAUUCCAUAAGCUGGAAAAUCAUUGAUAGUCCACAUCAAAGCCGCCCUCAUAACAAAAUCAUGUUUCUAUCAUGUGAUUGGUGCCAUGUCAUGUGCUCAGCAGUCCUUGGUAACGUGAAUAACCUCUGCAAUCUAGGUACUUCCCAAUCACACCAAUAAAAUGAAGUGUUAGAGAAAAAUAGGGAAAAAAAUGCUUCUUCACUGGCAACCAAAAUAAUGUCAUAUCAUUAUCAGCACUGAGAUCCCGUCCCAGAGCACUACUUAUGAUAUAUUAAGAGGAUUUUUAUUGCGUUUGCAAUUAAUUCUAAGUGAAGUAAGGAGUUUUAAGAUUAAUCAUGGUGUUAAAUCCGAUCUAACUUGAUGGUUAACCCAUAACACCCAAAACUCAAGAUGAGUUUCAAGUUAAACUAGAAAACAUUGAGUAAAGAAGAUCUAGGUGAUUCAAUUAAAUUUUUAGUUAUUCAUUUUAUUUGAUCAAACCCAAUAAACUUAACUUGGCGUAGUUUGACCCAUAACACCCCCUACUCAAAAUAAGUUUCAAGUUAAACUAAAAAAAACAUUGAUGAAGGAGGACUUGGUUGAUUCAAAUAAGUUUUUAAUUAUUUAUUUUAUUUGAUCCAUCUAACUUGUCAAAGAAUCAUUUUAAUCCAAUAACUUAAACUGUUAGAUGAUGUUUCAAGAUAUGAUUUAUAUUAUUCUCUAACACACCCCUCAAGUGCAAGCUCUUUGGACUUCAAAUUUGCACAAGUUCACGCUACCUUGUGCUUAAUUUUUGUCAUAUAAAUGGGAAUAGUGAGAUUCAAACUCGUGACCGCUUGGUCAUCAAAGCUCUGAUACCAUGUCAGAGAACCAUCUUAACCCAAUAGCUUAAACUGUUAGAUGAGGUCCCAAUAUAUGAUUUAUAUUAUUCUCUAACACAACUAAACUCAACCUGACCAAUACUAAAUAAAUAAUAAUAAUAAUAACAUUAUUUUAAUCUAUUAAUCUGAAUAAACCUAAUAACUCAGUCAUCCAAGUUUUUUUUUUUUUUUUAAAUCAAGUAUGAAAACUAUGAAAGCAAUGCAAAACAAAUGCAUGAAGCCGCUCAAUAAUGGGUAUAUUAUUUGUUUUUUGGAUAGCGAGAGAAAGCUCAUAAUUCCAUCACCAGGUAUUGUAAUUUGUAAAUGAGAAGCUUUAAAAAUAAACUAGAAAGGUCGCCCAGUUUUAACAGGGAAUAUGUGUGCAGCAACUAGCUUCAACUAUGGACCGGACCAUCAGAGGCCCAGCUAUAACAGGGAAUACACGUACAGCUACUAUAGUAUUAACAAAAACAAAAAAAAGUAGGGGUGAUCAUUUUCGGUUCGAUUCGGUUUUUAUCAAAAAAAGUAACCAAACCGAAAUUUUUUUUUUUUGAAAAAAAAAACCGAAACCGGGUCAAACCGACCGGUUUCAGUUCGGUUCGGUUCGGUUUUUUAGGGCAAAAACCGGUUCAAACCGGUUUUUCCGGUUUUGGCUCGGUUUUGGCUCAGUUUUUUCCGGUUUUGGCUCGGUUUUUUCCGGUUUGGUUCGGUUUUGGCUCGGUUUGGCUCGGUUUUUUCAGUUUUUUGUCGGUUUCGGUUCGGUUCGGUUUUAUGUUUAUAAAACCGAAACCGAACCGAACCGGCCGGUUUUUUCAAAAAUUUAAUCGGUUUAAUCGGUUAUUUUUUUCAGUUUGGUUUUUUCGGUUAUUUUUUUUCCGGUUUUCUCUGUUUAAUCGGUUUUCCGGUUUUUUUGCUCACCCCUAAAAAAAAAGUAGAAGGUUGGUUUCACAGUUCAUUUGAACAUUUAAUAAGGUUGAUAUAUUAUUCAAAUCUUUAGAUAACAAAUUGGUUGUGUGGUUUACCUGGUUGACGUGUGGUGCUGAUUGAUGCAAGGUCUCCGGUUCAAGUGUUGUGGUUGUCGCUAUUUUUUGUUAUGUAACAGGUGCAAAAUUGUUUGCUGCAAAACAAGAUCUCAGUUGCUUCUACUUAUUCUCCGGACUGAGUUCCUUAAGUUUUCAGCCAUUAAUGUAAUAUCUUGCUGGAUAUUUUUGUUGCAGGUUAAUGAAACUGUUGAUGAUAGCAAACUUGUACUUGCAGAUACUGUAGUUGAUGCCUGUAACCAGGGUGCAGAGGAGGUUCCUUUAAAGAUAAUGCUGUGAUAAUCAAAUUAAAUUUUUUUUUUUUGACUAGGAAUGUCCUAAUAAACCAUAUGUUUAUUAGGUGGAAGUUGUUGGAUCUUCAUAUAUUAUAUAAGUUGAACAUUUUUGUACCUUAAUAUUAGAUCAGCUAUUAAAGUCAUAGGUGUAUAUAUGACCUCAUAUCAUAAUCACUGAGGUUAACACGACAAGGAUAUGGCAUGCUGAUAGUCAUAUGAUCGUUUGACAUGGAUUCGAAAGUAGACAAGUAUUUUUAGUGAUCCUGUUGUGCUAGAAAAACAAGUUUUGAAAUGUUGAAUAAGGAAUUAUUUGAAUUGAAGCAUUGGUCGUGUAUUAACUCAAAUUAAGAAUUUGUUUUUCGGAUUUGAAGUCUCUCGCAUUUAUAGUACAGUUACUUUAGAGCAUCCGCAAGUGGAGUGUAAAGAAGAAUGAAUGGCUGAGAGAUCGAUCCUUGCUUACUGCAGGUUGGCGAUAGGACUGACCCAAUUGAGUGAAUGGAGAGAUGAGCUUUCAGAUCAGUUCUAUACGACCUGCUAACCUUAAUGUCUUAACAGAACUACCCUCUUAAUAAACCCUAUAUGGAAGGGUAGGUUCCUGUUGUAAUUUUCUGACUCACAAAUGUGUAACUUAGUUGAUUUUGCUCUAUCUACACUUGAAGAGGCUGACAUUGCAAACAAGUCUCUUCUUCCCUCAGUUGGGAGUGAGUUUCAUGUUACAUACAAAAUGGUAUCCCUGUCUGUACACCUUUUAAUGAAAAACUGAAAUGCAAGGAACAACUCUUGCAGAUUUGCUAAAACUAGAUUAUGAUGCACAUAAAAAGCAUAUGUUCCAUUGCUUUCCUUCUCUUGAGAAUACAAAAUGACUGAAAGAAAUUGGACAAUGUUUUCUGGAGUAAUACAUAUUAGAGACCACAUCAGCAGCAUGCCAUUUAGCAUGCACCAAGCAACAACUUGUAACAAAACUGCAACAGAAUAGUCAGCAACACACCAGCAGAGCAACCAUUACCAGAAAAUCGAUAAAUACAAACAGAAAUACCGAGAGAAUAUUUUUGUCGGUAAAUUGCCGAUGAAUUUUACCGACGGAAAUAUUCUCUCGGUAUUUUCCAAGGGAAUUACAGUGGAAAAAAAAAUUAAAACAAAGCAAAAAAAAAUAGUGACGUGCCAUUUUUACCAACAAAAUUUAUUCAAUCGGUAAAAUCGUUGGUAAACUAUGAACACUAUUCAUCAUGUCAAUUACAAAGGGAAUCACCGACGGAAACUUCCAUCGGUAUUUUACAGAGAGCUCUAGAACUAUUCACUUCCCAAUUGCACUGUUAAUUAUUGUUUUUUACAGACAAAAUCACCGACGGAUUGAAAAGUCGUCGAUGUUAUUUGGCGGUUUUCUAAAAAAUUUAUCUCUAACACGAUCAAAAGAUUGAUGUCUUCUCCCAAGUGCAGGAGUGUCGAAGUAAUAAAUAACCCGGCAAGACCGGGGUCGAACCACAGGGAGGUGAACUAUAUAAAUUACAAAUAAUAAAAUGAUAUUGAUGUUGAAGAAAACUUUGAGAUGUGAUAAUGAUGAAAAGACUAAACAAGGAUAAAACAAUUGUCAAGGUUAGAGGAUCCACUAAUGGUAUUUAAAAUAAGCAUAGUAAAACUCCUUUUUAUUACUCAACUGGAAACCACACACAAAGGAGGUUUCAAUUGGAUGAUUUAUCAUUAAUAGCUCAUUAUGAAUUAUUAACAUGAUCAUAUUAAUUAUCUUAUUUAAGUAACACCAUAUUUGUAAAUAUUGUCAGGUAUUCAUGAUGUUAACUUAUGUUAACAACAAAUCAAGUUCCUCUCAUAACAACGAUGUCGGCCGAAAACUAUGAAGGAUCAAGCAUUUAUUGUACGAAGUGUUAUAUAACAUAAAUCUAGAUUAAUUAUUUAACAAGCAAGGUAUUAAGAGUGAAUAAGAUAGAAAUGAUAAGACAUGUUAAUAACAAACUUUCUUGGAUAUAAGCAUUGAAGUCCAUGUUAAGUUUAUAUUAUACUUAUUAUAACACCAUUAAUGAAACCUUUUCACCUUGACAUAAUUAACUUAGCUAGACAUAAUGAAGAAGAAGAACAUAAAUAAACAAGAUAAGAACAUAAUUAUGAUAUAAGUUAACUAAGAGUAGUAAAGGAAAUGAAAAGCAUAAACAAGAGAUUAAUAUAACUUGAAAGAAAACUUGAACAUUACAAAGAGAGAAAGCAAGAAAAUGAUCUUAAUCUAAAAACCAAGAUGCCUAAAUACAUGGCAAAUGCCUCCUUUUAUAGGCUAAAAUUCGGAACUAUUGAUUAGAUGACUAACUAUUUAGUUGGUGGCCAACCAUUGACUUGGUGACUGGUUAUUGACAUUGUUGGCUGGCCAAAACGUCAUUGCUAACAUCAGAAUUUGAGCACAUAGUCUUCAAGAAAGUUGUGGGAAAUUGUCUCAAAUUUUCAACAAAAAAAACCAGAGCUUAUUUGGACUUCUAGAACUCGAGAUAUGGGCUAAACACUGAACAGUGUCUAGGCUACAGGACAGAUUCAGACGUCUCUUUUGAUGCUAAGAUUUGAACUUAAAAACAGAAGAUUUGAAUCUUGGACUCUCAUGAAAGUUUUAGGCAUGCGUCUUAGCUUUCCAUCAAGAUAAACCAGACCUAAAUUCAAGGUCUACAACUCCAGUUAUGAUCCAAUAACUGAAUGGUGUUCUAGUUUGAAUUGAACCAACAUCUCUUCUCUAAGCUUAGUCCUCUCUUUGUCUCUUCACUUUCAAUAGCUAAUCACAUCAAUCAAUCCUUUGAGUUAUGGGAUAAACCUAUAUUUAAAAUGAGCAUUUACCAUAACCUAAAGCUAUCUUAUAUUAUAAGACUUGUUACUAUAAAAACAUGCUUAAGUUAGGGAAUUUAAUGCUACUUUAGGUGCAAUAUGAUGAUAUAAAGCCUUAAUGAGAAUGCACUUUUAAGUACUAAUCAAUCUCUUUCCAACAAACCUCACAUAACUUCACCAGCCGUAAAUGACUCUAUCAUCUCCACAACAGACCCCUAAUUUGAUUCUCCAUCUCACACUCCUGUUAUCCUACCUUGUCCCUCUCUUGAUUCAGCCCCUCGCAAAACCACCAGGGUCAGAAGAGCACCACAAUAUCUACACGACUUCCAUUGCAACAAGUCCUCACUUGCUAUGCCUUCUCAAUUGUUGUCCAAGUCUGAGAAUUCAAACACCGGUAAUCUCUAUUCAUCGGCAAACUUUAUUUCUUAUAAAAAAUGUUCCCCAUCAUUCACUACUUUUUCUAGCUCUAUCUCCAUUCAUACCGACCCUAUCACAUACAACCAAGCCAUGAAACAUCCUGGCUGGUGCAAAGCCAUAAGUGAUGAAUUGCUUGCCUUGGAAUAAAAUAACACCUGGAUCGUCACUGACUUACCUCCUGGCAAAUCAGCCAUUGACUGCAAUUAUGUUUACAAGACUAAAUUUCAUGCUAAUGGAACUAUUGAGAGAUUGAAGCCAGACUUGUUGCCAAGGGUUUUACGUAGAAGGCAUGUAUUGAUUAUAUAGAGACUUUUUCUCCUAUCGCAAAGCUUGUUAUUGUCAGGUUCUUACUCUUUAUUGCAACAAUCAAAUGAUGGUGUCUCUUACAAUUUGAAAUCAACAAUGCAUUUUUUCACGGUGACUUCAUAAAAGAAAUAUAUAUGUGCAAGCUGCCUAGCUAUUCUGUAGGAGGCACCAAUCAAGUCUGCAAGCUUCUCAAAAGUUUAUAUGGACUCAAGCAAGCCUCAUGCCAAUGGUAUUCCAAAUUCUCUCUUUCUCUCAUUGCCUUUGGUUUUACACAAUCCAAAGCUGACUAUAGCCUAUUUACUAAGGUGGAUAACAGUUCUUUUACUGCCUUACUAGUUUAUGUUGACGAUAUAAUUGUUGCUGGAAAUUGUUCAUCUUCCAUCGAAUCCCUUAAAUCCUUCCUACACAACCAAUUUAAAAUCAAAGACCUUGGCUGCUUACGCUACUUUCUUGGCCUAGAAGUUGCUAGGUCCUCAAAAGGUAUUCAUUUAUGUCAGAGAAAAUAUGUUUUAGACAUUCUGGCCGAUUCAGGAACCUUGGCCAAUAAACCCCUCAAGCUGCCUCUUGAGCAGAAGUUUAAGCUCACCAAGACUUCUAGAGAUCCUUUAUCAGACCCCAGCUUAUAUCGUCAUCUUAUUGGACGUCUUUUAUACCUCACAAUCACUAGGCUGGAUAUUUGUUGUCCUUUCCAGGUCCUCAGUCAAUAUAUGGAUACACCUACCAACAUACAUCUGGCCAUAGCUUAUCGGGUUCUUUGUUACAUUAAAUCUGCACCUGGACAAGGUAUUUUAUUAUCUUCUUCCUCACAGAUUCAACUCAAAGCCUUCUGUGACUCUGAUUGGGCUUCCUGCCCUGACACUAGAAGAUCAGUCACGGGUUAUUGCAUAUUCCUUGGAGACUCUUUUAUUUCUUGGAAGUCCAAGAAACAAUCUAUUGUCUCUCGCUCCUCAACUGAGGCAGAAUACCGUUCUAUGGCUUCCACUUGCUCAGAACUCACUUAGCUUCGAUAUCUCCUUUAGGAUCUCUGCAUUUCUCAUCCUCAAGCUUCUCAACUUUACUAUGAUAACCAAGCUGCUCUUCACAUAGCUGCAAACCCAGUUUUCACAGAUGGACAAAACAUAUUGAAUUGGAUUGCCAUCUCAUCCGUGACAAGAUACAGGAAGGUCUCAUCACCACUGGAAUAGUUAAUCUCUAUUCUCCAUCUUGUGGGGGGAUAUUAGAGACCACAUCAGUAGCAUGCCAUUUAGCAUGCACCAAGCAAACAACUUGUAACAAAACUGCAACAGAAUAGCCAGCACCACACCAGCAGAGCAACAACAGCACAACAUGCUGCAACCGAAUGAAUUAUUUGUAAUUAUUCCUUUUCUGUUUUGUGCUUAUUUAGUUGAGGGCCUUUUAUCAUAAAGAAAGAGACAAAAUAGUUUGUUAGAUAACUGUAUAUAUACACGAUACUGUACACGAUUAUUCUUUUUAAGUAGAAUACUAAGAGGUUCCCUCAUCCUUCGUGCAAAAGCUCUCUCUCUUCAUCUUUUAUUUCUUCCUCCAAUUUGUUACAAUACAAUGUAAGAUCUUCAUGAUCUUAAUUUUAAUGGCAAAUAAAGGGCGGGAACCUACCAACCUCUUUCUCAUCUUUGUAUCAAUUUUAUGUGUAGUUUUGCUUUAUCCUAUGCUCCAUUCUAGAUAAAUAAUGAUAAGAAAUCUCUAUUUACGUGGGUGAUUGGGUGCAUGGCUGGGGUACAGCUGGGUACAAGGCUUACGUGGGUUACUAUUGUUUUGUGUUUUAUUGAAUUAGUCAAUUAAUAACGUAAUGGGGAAUAGGAGUUGCUGAAAGCAUUCCUCGUCUUCAGCUCCACUACUGGAGUCCCGGUUAUUUUGAAUUAUUGUUGUAUUGAGGUAGCCUAUUUAGGUUCACGUUUUCUGUAUUGAAAAGGGGACAUUGAAUAAACAAAAAUACUCUCCAAAACCUCUGUUCUUCUUCUUUCCUUAUCUUCCCAAAUUCUUUUCUUAUCAUAUAAUCAGAACUUUCUUAAUCCAUCAGCCUCCUUCUCAUCUUUGUUAUAGGUGCAGGUUCUGUGACUGCCUUUUUGCUCCUGUAGAUCAUCUACUCUCCAGGGUAACUCUCUUUUGCCUGUCUUUUCUCUUUCUUUCUAACUCUUGAUAAUGAUUAUAACUUGAAGUGAUUUACAGAUUGAUUGAACUAAUCUUUUUGAAGAGAUGAGAAUGGGUUCUAAGGAUUAGCUGGGUGCUUUCAAAGUUGUAGUUUUUUCUACAAUCUGGAUCAAGCGAGAAGCAAUUUAAGCUCUUUUUUAAGCAACUAAGGAAUAAUGUUUAGCACACAGAGUGUAAUUUUUAAUUGAAGUGGAGAUUUGAAAAUCAUAAGGAAAUAAACGUAUGACCAAACACAGAGUGUAAUUUUUUUUUUUUUUAUGAGAGACAAAAUCUUGAAGAAUUAUUUUUUUUCCCCUUAAUUUCUUAGCACACCAACUCAACAUAUUAGAAUGUUUAAACACACCAAACAUCAAUCAUAUUGCGUUGUUCAACUAAAUACAUCGAAAAACUAAUUUCAUAAUUGAGUCUGCAUUCAAAGGCCUAAAAAAAUAACCUAACCUGAUAUCAUUUUAAUAUUUAGAUAAUUUAUUUUUUUCCUAAUGUAAAAAUCGCUCAUAAUAUAAUUUAUAAUUCCUUAUUAAUGCCUUGAUCCCCGCAGCUUAGCGGCGGGUCUUUCAGCUAGCACUAACUACAAAUUUAUGGAGCCAUGUGAUUUAAAUCGCGGUGCCUGGCCUUUUCUAAUGUGGGAUUUGAUUUUACGAAUCUUUAAAGUUUUAUGGGUUUGGUAAACACGUUGUGCACAAACGUUUUAGAUCUGAGCAUUAGGCCUAAACACCUUGGAUCUGGCAACCAUAUUUGGGUCUGACAUGGUUGCCAGAUCUAGGCCCGGGUCUAACAAUAUUACCAGACCCAGGCACGGGUCUGCCAGACCCGUGCUAGCAUUUGCCAGACCCGCGCGCCUGGGUUAAAAUUUUAAAUUUUUUUAAAAGCAUGAUUGAACUGCAAAAACAAACACUGCCUCAUUCAAGUAUAAUUUUUCAUUCAUAGGAAGUAGAACUUAAAUGCAAACUCUUUUUAUUUGUGCAACUUAUUUUAUAAUUUGUUAUAUUCGAAAAGGAAAGAAUGAAAAAAAAUAUAUUAAGUACUAAGUGAUUUAUUUCAAGUCUUCAAAAAUAAACUUUUAUUUUUUGUGUGCAUUGUGGAUGAAAAUAUAUAUAAUGAAACUAAGCACAUAUAGUCCAGUAUUGUUAAAAAUAAUAUAAAAUAAUGUUGUCAUUGAUGAAAAAUCACAAAGGACCACCCAUUAAAUAUGUUUUUUGCAUUAAAAAAAUAAAAAAGAGAAAAAAAAGAAGAGAAAAAACGAGAGAAGAUAGAAUUUCUAUUGAAAGAAUAACAAAUUUAUGAACAUAAAAAAUGAAUUAUUUUAAUAUGAAGAUAUGAUUCGAAUAUUUAGAUCUAAAACGUUAAAUUAGAAUUUUGUGAUAAUUUAUUAUUUAUAAAUAAUUUAUGAACUUGGAUUUCUAUUUAGGAUACUUCAAUGAUAAUUUAAAUAUGUUUUCUUAUAUAUAUAUAUAUAUAUAUAUAUAUAUAUAUAUAUAUAUAAAAUUAUAAGUUUCAACAUUUUAAUUAUCACCUGCUUAGACUUGGGUCUCGCAUGGCCGUCAGACCCAAGGCUUAUAUACACACUUAAUUAUAUAUCAAAAUAACUACGUGGGUGUUUAAGAAUAUGGUUGUAGUUACUUUUUAAAGUAUCGUUUCACUCAGAAAUGCAUUAAAAUAAUAUAUAUAUAAUUUUCAAAAAGUUAUUUUUGAUAUCAAUAUAUCAAAACGAUCAAAAAAACAUAAAAAAUAAUUUUAAAUAAAACAAAUUUAAAUUUUUAAGAAACACAAUUUUUAAAACGUUCCCAAAUGGUUAGAUAGAUCCCAGCCAUGACUUUCCAAACACUAUUUUUACUCUUUUUUUUGUCUGAAAGACCACACAAUUGAUGAGGUUAUAAAUCCUUCAAAGGCAAAUGAGCUUUAUUAUAGAAAGUAUACAUAUAGGAAAUAUUAUAGGUAUAUUAUAUAGGAAAUAUUAUACUUAUACUCUUGUGUUGUAAUCUCCACCAUUAUUAUUGUAUAUUACCCUACACAUAUAUAUAGAAAAGAUUGACUAACCAAUAUAAAUCAAAAGACUGUUUUUGCAGGUAAUCAAACUUUUAUCAUAAGUCUGGAAUUUCUUAAACUAAAAAGAAGAAAUCAAAGUACUUGAAAUAUUGAUUAAUCACGAUAUCAGACACUAAAUAACUUAUUAUUAAUUUUAAAACAUCAUCAAAUAUAUAUAAUUUAACAGCACGGUAUUAAAGUGAAAGAAAAGAAUAAUAUUGGAGAACCCUAAUGAUAGUCAUCUAGAGAAAGAGAAAUAUAUAAAUGAAGGCCAUUCCUUAUCUCGUUGUUUGGAGCUUUUGGAAUUGAAUUUAAUUUCAAGGGUUAAAUUAAUUUUUGUGUUUAGAGUUUUUUUUAUGGUAUUGAUAAUAAAAAAUAAGCAAAAAUAAAAAGAAAAGAAAAAUAAAUUUUUAAAACUUGACAAAUUAUAUUGAUUAAUAGUUUUUUAUUCACCACUCAUAAUAAAUCAAUUAGUGCUUUUCAUUUUUCGUUUAGUGAUGAGGAUGGGGUGCUAGAUGCUAAGAACUGACUGAACCGAUGGAGAGGUUUUAGCAUACCUCCUAAGAUAGGAUUAGAUGGUCCACUAAACUAAACUGACUUGUAGCGUCUCUAUAAGAAGAUUUCUAAUUGUGGUUACACCUAAUAAACCAUAGGAUUAAAUGGUCCCUUCAAUUAAAAAGUCCACUAAAAUUACAGUUAUGCUAUGUUAAUUACCCAAAGGGUACAACCCCUAGCUGUGAUUAUUAUUCCAUUAGAUAGGCCUCCUCAAUUACCGAAAUACACAGGGGAUCAACUCGUCUUUAUACACUAAAAACACAACUAUAAAAGCAAAUCUUCACGUCCAUUCCUUGUUCAGAAGCUAAUUAGUGAGAGCAAGUGUGAUUAUCGGGAAGAGUUCGAAAGGAUGGCAUCACCAUCUCGGCGUCAUCUUGUGCAUGCCAUGGUUUUCGGCUUACUAGCAAUUAACGUGGCGGCCAAUAUUUAUGAUAAUGAGGAACCUCCUAGGCCACCUCAUGAUCACGAAGACCCACCAUUACCAUAUAAUCAUAAAAACUCUCUAUUUCUGCCAUCAGGACUUCUUCAUCGAGGAACACCGCCGCCGCCGCCUCGAUCACCACUACCUCCAAAUAAGAAGAAAACGCCCCCACCACCUCCAAAAAAGAAGAAAACACAGUCACCUCCACCACCAGCAAAAUCUCCACCCCCGCUACCACGAGCAAAGUCUCCACCUCCGCCACCAUCAGCAAAGUCUCCACCAUUGCCAUCAGCUUCACCUCCGACCUCAUCUUCAGCUCCCAUUUUACCUCCAUUGCCUUCUAAAAUUUCUCUCACUGUCCCUAACUCCCAAUUUAUCUCCAUUACAUCCUUAUACUCCACCGACAUCCUCUCCAAAAGUUUCACGAUUUCCAUCACCAUCCCCAACUCCCAAUUUAUCUCCAUCACAUCCUUAUACUCCCCCGACAUCCCCUCCAAGAAUUUCACCCAUUCCAUCACCAUCUCCAUCCCCAUCCCCAACUCCUAAUUUAUCUCCAUCACAUCCUUAUACUCCCCCGACAUCCUCUCCAAAAGUUUCACCAUCCCCAUCCCCAACUCCCAAUUUAUCUCCAUCACAUCCUUAUACUCCCCCGACAUUCCCUCCAAAAAUUUCACCCAUUCCAUCACCUCCUUAUACUUCUCCUCCACCCCCUCCACCUAUCCUCAAAUCUCCACCUCCUCCGAGGUUUACACUUUCUCCCUUAUUUCACUUUAAAUCCCCGCCACCUCCAUCUCCUUCCCCCCCUCCACCUUUCCUCAAAUCUCCACCUCCUCCGAGGUUUACACUUCCUCCCUUGUUUCACUUUAAAUCCCCGCCACCUCCAUCUCCUUCCCCCCCCUCCACCUUUCCUCAAAUCUCCACCUCCUCCGAGGUUUACACUUCCUCCCUUGUUUCACUUUAAAUCGCCGCCACCUCCAUCUCCUUCUCCCCCUCCACCUAUCCUCAAAUCUCCACCUCCUCCGAGGUUUAAACUUCCUCCCUUCUUUUACUUUAAAUCCCCGCCACGUCCAUCUCCUUCUCCCCCUCCACAUAUCCUUAAAUUUCCACCUCCUUCGAGGUUUACACUUCCUCCCUUCUUUCACUUUAAAUCUAAAUCCCCGCCUUCUCUAUCUCCAUCACCUCCUUCAUCCAAUAAUUAACCUCCACCUCGUUCAAAAAUAUCUAUCAAAAUUGGUCAGUUCUUUUAACUUUCUUUGUAAUAGAUUGUUCAUUUCGAUAACAUGGUUCUUUUUUUUUUUUAAUUUACCAAUAUUUAAUCUCUAAUUGUGUUUUUUUUUUUCAGAUUAUAUAUGGUUAAUGAUGGCAGUGGGUUUCUUCGAAGAGACUUACAUAUUAUAUAAUGCAUGUAUUGAAAAUGUAAUCAGUUGAAGGAAAGUCGAUUGUGCUCCAUCAAUCAUGCCAGAAUAAUAUCAUAGAAAAUUAGUUAUUGUAAUAAUAUAUGGAUAAUAUGGAGGAAAAUAUUAUGUUUGUUGAAAAGCAUUAUAAUACUAAAUGAAUGUCUUUUAUUACAAUAAUUACUUCUUUUUUUACAAUUCUUAUCGUUAAACUUUUUACUCGUCUAAUUUCUUUGGAGAAAAACAGUAAAAGAGAAUUUAGAUAUCAGGACAAUGUUUACCUAUAUACAUUGAAGACUUUCCCACGUGAAAAUCUCAAUUAUUUGGACUUCCAGGUGUAUAAACUUGAUUAUAAUUACUUUCAUAUAUAAUUAGCGAUGUGAUUAUCGGGAAGAGUUCGAAAGGAUGGCGUCACCAUCUCGGUGUCAUCUUGUGCAUGCCAUGGUUUUCGGCUUACUAGCAAUUAACGCGGCGGCCAAUAUUUAUGAUAAUGAGGAACCUCCUAGUCCACCUCAUGAUCACGAAGAUCCACCAUUACCAUAUAAUCAUAAAAACUCUCUAUUUUGUCAAAGAACCAACUCAACCCAAAAGCUUAAGCUGUUAGGUGAGGUCCCAGGAUAUGAUUUAUAUUAUUCUCUAACACACCCCCUCAAGUGAAAGCCCUUUAGGCUUGAAACUUGCACAGGCCCACAUUACCUUGUGCUUAAUUUUUAUCAAAUAAAUGAGGAUGGUGAGAUUCGAACUCGAGACCACUUGGUCUUUAUACACAGGGGAUCAACUCGUCUUUAUACACUAAAAACACAACUAUAAAAGCAAAUCUUCACGUCCAUUCCUUGUUCAGAAGCUAAUUAGCGAGAGCAAGUGUGAUUAUCGGGAAGAGUUCGAAAGGAUGGCGUCACCAUCUCGCCGUCAUCUUGUGCAUGCGAUGGUUUUCGGCUUACUAGCAAUUAACGCGGCGGCCAAUAUUUAUGAUAAUGAGGAACCUCCUAGUCCACCUCAUGAUCACGAAGACCCACCAUUACCAUAUAAUCAUAAAAACUUUGUAUUUCAGCCAUCAGGACUUCUGAAUCGAGGAACACCGUCGCCCCCUCGAUCACAACCACCUCCAAAUAAAAAGAAAAUGCCCCCACCACCUCCAAAAAUUCAUCACCUUCAGCCGCCGCCACAAGCAAAAUCUCCACCACCACCACCACCAGCAAAAUCUCCAACAUUGCCAUCAGCUUCACCUCCGACACCAUCUUCAGCUCCUAUUUUACCUCCAUUGCCUUCUUAUAUUUCUCCAGUUACAUCCCCUUCAAAAGUUCCACCAAUUCCAUCCCCAUCCCCAUCCCCAUCCCCGGCUUCAAAUUUAUUUCCAUCUCCUCCUUAUACUUCACCAGCAUCCCCUCCAAGAAUUUCACCCAUUCCAUCACCAUCCCCAUUCCCAUCUCCUAAUUUAUCUCAAUCACAUUCACAUACUCCUCCGACAUCCCCUUCAAAAGUUUCACCAUUUCCAUCACUAUUCCCAUCCCCGCAUCUCAAUUUAUCUCCAUCCCCUUCUUAUACUUCACCAAAAAUCUCACCAAUUUCACCACUAUCCGCACCCCCAACUCCUAAUUUAUCUCCAUCACAUCCUCAUACUUCCCCGAUACCCACUCCAAAAGUUUCACCAUUUCCAUCACUAUCCCCAUCUUCGCAUCCCAAUUUAUCACCAUCACCUUC